rnacentral:lncRNA from 1 species
CAACACAACACCUGCUAACAAAGAUCAACUUUGUUUUCAUGAGUUAAUCAGUAGUAAGGAUUUUUCUCUCAUAUCAUAACCACAAAAGAUCCCAAUGGUAGAAGCCCACACCUCCCUAGCCAGCAACUGGACACAUCCCACCAAGGACAAGGAUUUGCAGAACAACUUUACAAAGAGACAACCUUUCUUCUUGUCUGGUCCCCCACCAGCCUAUCGUUUAUCCGAUUACAAACAAUAGCAGAAUGAAUAACCUGCAAGAACAGUGCCACCAACUCUAACUCCCAACCACAAGGACUCUAGAGACUUGAGAAUCUAAGGAUCCCUCCUACUACAGAUCAGACCCCUAAGAAUUUUUUGUCUACAGUGCUGUUGAACAAGUCUACACCACAGUCUGCCCAGCCCCAUGCACCAAGAGCCACACCUAAACUUAAUUCUGAAAUCACACAAAUACAAGUGCAAGAAUGGAAAGCAUCACAUGAACUUGUAAUGACUUUAACACCUAACUCAUAAGCCUCCCCACUCCUCCUAAACUUUCCUAAAAUGACCUUCAGAAAUUGUCACGCUUAACAGAAAAUGUCCACAACUAUUUAACGAGUGAGGCCUGAUUUGAGCAACUAUUGGCUUAUUAGGCCCAACAACUGAAAAUAAAGUUUCCAAAAUGCAAUAUCUAAUUCAAUCAACCCUAAACCAAGCCAAUCAUCCCAUAAAAAUAGUAAAGAAACUUCCAAUUUUUGUGAUCUUAUGUUCCCUAGACUUCUAAUUUACAGCCUGUUACAACCUUCCCUUCUUCUUGAAUUAAUAUACACAUUUGCAAUCAAAACAGCAUCAAGGAUCUACAUAACCACCAUCAAUGCAUUUUAUGCCUCAAAGACAACCUCUUUACUCCAUCACCUUUUGUUGACCAUAACCUAGUUUUGUAGUCCAAAAGCAAUUGUAAAUCCAUCCAAACCUAGAGCCUUGUCUGCUGCUAAACCCCCGAGAGCCUCCAAAACCUCCUCAUCAUCAAACUCCCUCUCGAGCCCCACUCACUUUGCACUAAUAGACUCAGAAUCCAAUCAUCUAGUCUAACUCUCCAUGAAACUGUUUCAGAAUAGUUGAAUUAGCUAACCACCCCUUUAUUCAUCCCCUCUACUCUAACACUCAAAACUCAAUUGAUUCUCCAAAUUAUUUGUUGUUUUAAUCUAUUAAAAGAAAGGAAAAGAGAAAACUAGUCCUUGCACUUUAACUAUUCUUUCUCAAUCCUUAUAACUUAUAUUAAAUUAAAAUAGGGUACACUCCUUCUGUCUCUAAAGCAAGGGAAAAUUAGUCCUUUCUUCCAAUAUUUAUAUUUUUUAUAAGUAAAAUUUUCUACUACUUUCUACUCCUUAAAGGAAUUCAUAAAAACAUUUUCAGCUGCAAUUCUCACUAAUUGAAUCCAUAAAAGAUCUUUCUAUUGCAUUCAUUCCAAAUACACCCAAAUAAAUUGAGUGAAGUUGUAAAUCAUAUGUUUCUUUUCCCCUUCAUUACCAUCCUUCCACACCAACUACUUAAGAUGUAAUUAACUGCCUCAAAAAGCACCCAAGAAAUAACAAAAUUUGAGAAUAGUCAAGACCAUACAAACAACAACAAUUGGUUGAAAUCCUUCCCUUUUCUCAGACUACUUCCUAAGCAAAGAAACCAACUCUAUGGGAACAAGCAAGCCUCAAACCGUUCUAUAUGGGAAAAAAUAUCACAAUGAAAUUUUUUUUUUUUUGAUAGGUAAAUAGAGCUUGUAUUGGAAGCGCCUAGAAGCGGCGAAAACAAUACACACGAAGCAUAGAAUCAAAACGCCCAAAAAACUAGGCACAAUGAAUAUUAUAAUAUCUUUUUUUUUUCUCCAUUUUCCUCAAUUUUUAUUUUAUUUUAUUUAUUUAUUUUUGUGGAUAAAGAAAGUGAAUGUUAUAAAGAAAAGCGCCAAAAAAGCACCCCAAAGUAAACAAAAAGUAUACAAUGGACACUUAAAAGCGCCACCAAAAAACAAAGAGGGACAAGAAAAAACAGCACCCCCUCGACAGAAGCCUAACCAAUCCACAAAAUCUACAAUAGAAGAAGGGUCAAGAGCUAUAAACAAUUUGGACCACACCCAAAGAUUACAAAGAAAAGAAAGUUUAAUCCUUUGUAUAGAAUGCUCUUCAUUUUUUAACACCAUACUUUCCUUUCCUCAAAACUAUGAGCUCGCUUAUUUCUUCUUUUACUCAGUUUAUUAAAAUACAUAUAUUCUUUUCUUUUUGUCAUUUUUUUCAAGCUUGUGAAUCUCUUCUUGCUCCAUAGUUUCCCAAACUACUAGGCUUAGUAUAGGCGGGCUAUUCACUUUUUGGAAGCCAAAACAUCAUAAUUCAUAUCAUUCCAAAUUAAAUUAUCUCUUCUUCUCCUCAAUUAUCUUGGAAACCAAACAAAACCUAAGAUAACUCUUAUUUAGUCAAGGAGAGUUUUCCUUGUCCAGAAAGCAAAACAACAUGAAAUUUAAUAUUCUAAAUUCAGUUUUCUAUUCUUGCCCUCAAUUUUCUCACCUACCAACAAACCAAAGCAGAAAAUCAAAUUGCUUUUAUGUGGAUCAUUAGAGAUUCUAAAUUCAAUCUUUUUUAAUUCUCAUUUUUCUUUUUCUCACAACCAAAUGAAAGCUAAUACAACAUUGGGUUUAGUUCAUAAGCUCUUCAUUUGUCAAAACAACAUAAAAUGUAAGAUUCCAAAAUUCAAUUUUCUAUUCUUGCAUUCAAUUUUCUCAGCAACCAAACAAACAAUAACAGAAAAUUCAAUUUCCUUUUAUUUGCCUCAGUUGAAGUUCCAAAUUCAAAAUUUUCUUUACUUUCUGUUUCCAUUUCCAAAUACAAGCUACUAAAAACAUUUGGUUUCAUUAAGAUUCUUAUUCUCAAAACAAUAUAAGAUGUAGGAUUCUAAAUCAAUUUUCUAUUCUUGCUCAAUUUUCUCAGCAAUCAAACAAACAGUUUCCAUUUCCUUAUUGCCUCAGUUGAAGUUCCAAAAUCAAUUUUCUUAUCCAUUUGCUCUAAAACCAAAUAAAAGCAAAAACCAUUUGGUUUAGUUCAUAAGCUCCUCAUUUUUCAAAACAAAAUAAAAAUGUCACAGUUCAAAAUGUAAUUUUCAAUUCUGUUCCUCAAUUUUCUUAGCAACCAAACAGAUAAGUGCAGGCUCAUCUUCAAAUGUAACAGUUCAAAUUCGAUUUUCUAUUCUGUUCUUCAAUUUUCUCAGCAACCAAGCAGAUAAGUACAGAAAAUUGAACUUCCUUUUAUUUGUCUCAUCUUCCUUGCCAGCCAAAUAGAAACCUAAUAAAACCAUUUGGUUUCAUUCACAAGCUCUCCGAUUUUUUUUUAAUUAAUAUGAGAAUCAGAAUUUUCCACUGUUCUCUUGUCCACAGUUUCCUAAGAAAUCAAAGAGCGGGAAAAGGAAAAGACACAGAGAGAGAGGAGGAGGCUUACGCUUCGGUUAUCGGGAGAAACACUGGAGUUUCGGGCCAUGGGGGAUGACAGAGUGUUCAAAUGAGGCCUCUUCUUCUCUGGCUCUUCAGACGAAUCUGCGUUUUCCAUUAGGCUCCUCCGAUCAACACCACCAUGAGAGAACGUAGCUCUACCUCUGCGAAACCCUAGAGAGAGAUGGAGAAAGAGACUGUGUGUGCGUUUAAACGACGUCGGUUUGUUGCUCUUUCUCUUCACUAUCCAAACGACGCCGUUUUAAUCCUCCCACCCUUUGCCCAACGGGGUCAGCUCUUUUAAUUUUUUAAGGUCCGUUUGCCGCAGCCAGUAACUUUCCGAAAAAGUGCUUUUACUGUCAUGCUUCAAUUCAAUAUAAUUGGAUCAAGGUUCUCUUUGAAUAUUUUAUUUCAUGACCUACUAUUUUUAAUAUAAUUAUUGUAAAACAUUUUUGACUUAUUGAUGAUAUAAAAAUACAAAAGUUAUCAAAAAAAUUUCCAUUUUUACUGUCUAUCUUUGUAGAAAAAUGUUAAGAUUCUUAAUUAUCUUUACAAAUAUUCUAAAUUAUGGAUAAAAAUGUUUAUAAGGUAUAGUAGAAUGAUUAUCUCAUCCAUUGAUGUAUACAAGGGUCUCCAACGGGCCGGGCCGCGGGAAGGAAGAUGAGGGGAUUCGAACCCCUCCCCUCAAGCUUAAAUUUCAAGGUUCUAACCAACUGAGCUACAUUUUUUUUUUGUGCUUAUUAAAUGAGUUAGUUAUAUAUAUAUAAAAAUAUAGUAUAUUAUUUUUUUUAAAAAAAUUAAAGGCGGGCCUAAGGGCCAGUCCGGGCCUAAAUUUAGGCCCGCGGCCCGGCCCGCCCAUAAACGGGCUCGGGCCGGGCUGGGCCUAAAGCGGGACGGGCCUAAAGCGGGCCGCGGGCUUUUUGGAGACCCCUAGAUGUAUACAUGAUUAAUAAAAAAUGUGAACUUCAACCUUCGAAAAGGCAUGGAUCGUGUUCACCAUCCUUCUUGGAGUCAUUUUUGCAAUAGAGCUUGCUAAUCUUCUCCUCCCCCUAACAUUCAUUUUCUCUCUUAUGGUGAAUCAUUUAUUUCACUUACUAUUAUGAAUAUCCAAAACAUUAUCAUUAAUAUUAUUAUUAACUUAUUAAUAUUAAGGUCCUUAAUAUUAAUAAAGAACAAGAAAAAACAAAAAAAACAAGGGUAUUAUGUUUAUCUUUUAAUCACACAUAUUAUAAAGUUUAUAAAAAUAUGGAUGUUAUACCCCAAUUAUAAUAUUAUCAACACCCUAAAUGGUGGUCUUUUAUUAAUUUGGAAUUAGUCUUUUUAUAAAAUAAAAAAUAAAUGAAUGAACUUUUUUUUAAUAAUUUUUAUUUUCUUAACACUUUCCAAAAACCAACUAUAUAUAUAUAUAUAUAUAUAUCUAUAUUUAAUGGUUGAAAUUCCAUCCCAUACAUAUUUUAAUGUUUACGCAAACCCAUGGGCCAAACUCGGGCUUAAAAACUCGGUCCAAGAGAUGGAGCUAGGCUCAAUUCGGACUUACAAGUAUUUACACCUAGGUCGGGGUCGAGCUUUAGCCCAAAAUAUUUGGGCAAGCUCGAGCUCAAACUAGGUUGUAGGCCCAUGGGCCAAAUUUACAUGAAAAGUAAGAUGCUUUUUAUUUUCAAAGCUUCAUUAGAUAGAUUUUGUGAAUUGCACGUCCAUACACAUCAUUAAUGGUGUCUCUAUAAUUGGCUAAACUAUAUUAUAUUAUAUAUAUAUAUAUAUAUAUAUAUAUAUAUAUAUAUAUAUAUAUAUAUUGCAAUAAAAGGUUAAUUAAUAAAAUUGAAAUCUCAACAAACUUUUAUAAAUAUUUAGUUAAUAGUAUUUACAUUAACAUAUUAACCAAAAAAUCUCAUUGAGGCUAAUUAAGGGAAGAUUUUGGAUAAAUCAGGCUAUCUAAACUUCACAUUAUUAUUUUCCUUUAGUUGAAUGAUUAGUGAAAUCAUGGUGAAAUUCUAGGUUUUUCAAUUUUCUAAAUAAAUUGGUCUCCUAUUUGAUAUUAAUUUAACGCCCUAAAUUUAUUAAACUUUCUAAAUUAAUUGAUUUGAAAUUGUGGGUACUUUUCAAUUGAUUCUUGAUAGAGUUUCAAGUAUUUUCUUAUAUAUAUAUAUAUAUUUUUUUUUUUAAAUUAAUAAAGUUGUAAAACUUUUACAUUUUUUUUAUAUUGAAAAUAGGAAAUUUUGUUUUGGGUUACGAUGAAGGAAGCUCACUCUUUUUAUAGCUUCUUCUUGUAUAUUGUCUGACAUCGACAUACUGGAUUUUUAAGCUUUUUCUCCUUUUCACAUUUGUAACUUUUUUUUUAGUUGAUGUGUUUAAUAAUAUUUCUUUCCGACUAAGUUAUGAGAUUGAGUAAGUUCUACAAAAAGGAUACUCUUAAAUGCGUGAGGUAAGGACCAUAUGAUAUUUUGUACCUUCAAUUACUUACCUCUAUAUGCUAUACUAAAAGUAAAAAUAAACAUUGUUCACAUUUUUAUGAUAUGGUUGCUAACUAAUUUUAGGUAUCCACAUUAAGAUUAUUCAAUCUAACAUCAAAAGCUAGCCUUUUUCCUAAAUAUAUGAGUAGUGAAGAUGUUAUACAUGAAACAAGUGGUAUUGGUACUUGACAACACAAUGGUAUAAUUUAAAGGAAAAUAUAAACAUCUUUUAUAAACCACUAGAUAUAUUAGAUUUUAUAUGAAUAUUCCAUAAUAAUAAUAGCCUUAAUUUAUUCACAAUUUUUGUAUUUUAUAAAAGACCAUUAUCUUUUAUGUGAGGCACAAUAUAUGAUUUUAAUUUCAAUCACCAAAUAAUUAAUUAACCCCAUAAGCCAUGCAUGUCAACUUUUCAAAACUAUUUUUAAUCAUAAUUUGCAUAAAAAAUUUAACUAAUAAAUUGAAAUAUAAAAAAGAUAAAGGAAAAGGAAAGGGAUAAAUUUUAAAUAAAAAGGUAUUAUAUAAAUACUAAAUUAACAUUUAAUUUGAUAUAAAUUAUUCUACCUAAUCUUCACAUUUAUAAUUUUUUGUUUAAAUAAUUAGUGAAUUCAAGAUGAAAAUCACUAUCACUUGCCAUCAUGCAUCCAUUGACUAAUGAAACUUCUUGGAUGUUGCCUUUGCCUUAACACACAAGCCUUCCCAUGAAAUUCCCUAGGUCAAAUCACUAAGAUAACUUUCAAUCAUAAGAUUCCAUGUAGUGAUGCUACAUAUAUAUCAAUAUGAGUAAGUUACCAUUCUUCUUGGGUCUUCAAGUCCUAAUCUCAAAACAUAUUAAUUCAAAGCCAAACUAUGUAUUAAUUAGUGGGAAGCAAGGCCUAGAAAAGUGCCCAAAUUGAUCUUUACCAUUAAUAAAAAGAGGACCAAACAUUAUUUACAACUCCAAUUAAUUUGUAUCUUCCUAGAAGGAGCAAAACACUUAUGAAGGAGAACAUGCUUUAGAUUUCUCAUACAUGACUUGUAUUCUUUUAUGUUUUAUUAGAUACUUUUUAUAAUUAUUAUUUAAUAAAGUUAUUAAUUGAAUAGUAAAAUUAAUUGUAUUAUUAGGGAAGUAAAUUCACAUUCAGGGUUAGUUUAAGAGUAUCGAGACCACUCUUAUUAAAAAUGAUCCAUCAUUAUUAGUGUUUUUGGUAAUAUGUUAUGAUAAAAAUAUAUAUUUUUUGGAAUAUAUCUAAUAUUCUUGUUCAAGAAUCACCUUAAAUGAAAGAAAAAUAAUGAAUUUCAAGGAAAUUAAAAAAUAAUAAACAUCUAAUUAUUACCCAUUAAUAAAUUAAUCACUAUCAUGUCAAUAAGAAAAAAGAAAAGAUAACAUACUCAAAAUCAAAAUAGGGACCAUAUAUUGCUCACUUGAUGCUAAGAGUUAAACUAAUUACAUCAAAGCAAUCGCCUUCUUCUCAUGUUCAUUUGAUGAAUGUUUCUAUAAUCGUUAAUUAAUCCAAAAUAUGUUAUGAAUGUAAGAUCAUUUAAAAGUAGGAAAAAAAAUGUUUAAAAGCCACUUCCAAAAUAGGCUUAAAAGGUGCAUCAAAUUUUACAAUUCUUUUACUUGUAUUGUUAUCAUUUUGUGUGUUAUAUCUUCUAUACUAUACUACCAAAAUAAAGGCUUUAGCUUAAAGAAAUAUACCAUCUUUUAACUAAAAAUUUAUUUAUAUUGUAUUUUGCUAGUUAUUCACAUAAAUAUUCUCGAUAUAACUGUUAAUGACCUAAAAAAUUGAUGAUUAAUCCAUGAUUUGUAUUAAUCUAAGUCUAGAUUGUAUAAGUCUAAGUAUCACAAAGGGGCCUAAAAUAUCGGUCAUAAAUGACAAAAUAAUUUUUUCAAAAGUAGGUGCCUUACAUGUAUAAUAAAUCCUAGAUGGCCAUGGUGGUUUGUUACUUAAUUACCAAACACACAUGGCAUUCUCAUCAUCUUCAUCACUCCCAUCAUCAUCACCAUCAUUCAUCAUUAUGGUUUCUAACCUUUUUUUUUUUUAAUGAAUUGGGCCUCAAUAUGUCAUGUAACAAGUCAUUUAAACCAUUUUUAAAGCACAAGUGGCUUAGAAUAUCCACCAAUUUGGGGUAAAGCAAGGUGGUACCACCUUUGGGUGUUGCUUUUCAUUGUACAACAAUGUUAGCUUAUGAAAGCUAGGUACGUACCCUUUGAAAUUGAUUGAUAACGAGUAGUCUUGGAGCAUUAUAAUCAAUUCAAAAUUUCAAUUAAUAAUUUGGAAUUUUAGGGUUUCUUGUGGUAUGCUCUCUCCAAGUCAAUACACUUUCUUUACUUGGAACAAAGUGAUGAAUUUCAAGAAUUUAUUUCAUUCUAAACUUGAUUGAAAAAUCUUGCAAAUGGUAAAUUGCAUGAUUUUAAAAUUAUGAUCUCAAAACAAGAGAAUAAAGAAACAUGAAUCGACUAAAAUAAUCAAUUCAUUACAUAGAUCACGAUCAAGUACAUAUUUUUCUAACAAGAUGCAUAAUUUCAAGAAACUAAUAAAUAACUUCCAAAUAUUGCUUAUUUGUUUCUACACAUAAUAUUGGAACACAAGUGAAAUCACCUAAAUUAGCUCAAAGCCAUCCGUGCAAGCCAAACAACCUCACACCAAUUUCCCUCGAAUCAAAUUCAUUUUCCCACUAUUCCUUGUGGAACUAAGCCAACAUUAAUCAUUGUUAGCCUAAUAAUUCAACAAAGAAUAAUGGAAUUCCCACCAAAUUAUUAAUCUUAUAGAUAUAUAUACAUAUAUCUAUAUAUAUAUAUAUAUAUAUAUAUAUAUAUAUAUAUAUAUAUAUAUAUAUAUAUAGAUGUAUCUUCCUUAUUUUUCUUGCUCUUCUUCUACAACCCAAGAUCAUGUUCCUCUCCUUUCUCUUCUUUCUUCCCCCAUGACAAGUUCUUGACCUUGUCUCCAUAAGCGUCAACCAAAAACAAGUAAAAGGACACUGAAAAUAUCAUGAUAGCGAUAAGAUACCAGCUGAACUCUAUGUUUAUCAGCGCUUUAGCACGAUGGAGCGACUCAUCAUCAUGGCAGCGAGCCUCCUGGUGACCCUCAUCCCAGAGAAGAGAGCAUCCUUUAGGGAUGAAGCCUGGAGUCCAAAGCAUAACCCCUGUGGCCAUCAGCCAAACCCCAAGGAAAAUUAUACAAAGAGACCUAGAAAAACCAAGUAUAAAGCUCUUGGGAAAGCCUAUUGCCAUGAGACUAGUUGCCGUGGAGACAAGCGUGAGAAUCUGCAGAAACAAAUGGUAUUGUCCUUCCAGGCCAGCGUGGUCGGCGGAGUGAAGACGAAACAUGAGUAACUGCUGGCCGAGGGCUACGGCAGCAAGGAGCUGAGUCAGGCCAUACUUAGCCUUAGCGGCAACAAAAUCAAGGACAAUGGCAGAAGAGGAGUAAAUGAUGAAGGUUAUGCCGAUGGAGGCGUGCUCAAAGUUACGAAGAUAGGGAGAUGGGAUGGUGCCAUCCGGAUCAAAGCGAUAGUGCCGGAAGAGUUCUGCGGACAUGUGGUAGGAGCUCCCUAUCAUGACGAGAAGGAGCUCCAAGUACCUUAUUUUUGGGGCGGGGAACCAUGGGUGGAUAGUGAAGGAUUUGGAGUUUUGGACAUGGAGCUUGAUGUGAUUAAAGAGGUGCCACAACCCAAUGAGAAAGAACCCUAGCCCUGGAAAAAAGUGCCCUAUCAUAGAACUCGCCAUGUGAGCUAGAAAGAACUACCAAAGUGCCCUAAAACUCAGUUUUUAUGCUUUGAGGAAGACGUGAGAGGCUUGUUUGAGAUGGGGUUUUGAAGGGGUUUGGUCUUUGAUAUGGGAUUAGGGAGUUCUAUACUUCUAUUUCAAUUUGCAGUGCUCAUUAGGGUUUGAAGAAGAAAAGAGAGGCUUGUUUGAGAUGAGCUUUUGAAGGGGGUUUGAGGGGUUUUGGACGGGGUUGAUGAGGAGUUCUAUUUCAAUUUGCAGAGCUCAUUAGCGUCCUGCAUUGUAGGUGUGCCUUGGGAAGUAGGGGUAUUUAUACUUGAACAGUGAACAUGGCUGCCUUUUCUCUUUGAGGUAAAGAAUAUACAGUAGAAUGGUAGGGCAAUCCUAUUGGAUUUGAUUCAACUAAAUACUAAUUUUCAUGUACCCAUUUUGUUUAUGGAGAGAAAUAAUUUGUUUGGUAGAAAAGAAUUAGCAACACAUUAAAGAAAAUUUAGAAAAUGGGUUUUUAAAGGAAGAAAAUAGUUUUAAUUAUUGGCCCAUCAUUUGGUUUGUGGAGAGAAAAAUAAUUUGUUUCAUAGAGAAGAAUUACCAACACAUUAAAGAAAAUUUGGAAAAUGGGUUUUUAAAGGAAGAAAAUGGUUUUUAACUAUUAGUCCAUCAUUCUCGAUAUAAUUAUUAUGACCUAAAAAAUCGAUGAAUCCCUAAUUUGUAUUAAUCUUAGUCUCAUACAUGGACAAAUGAUGAAAUCCUAGAUUGUAUUAGUCUAAGUAUUACUUAAAAUAUAGUACAUUAAUAACAUAAUAAUUUUUUCAAAAGCAGGUAUCUUAAAUGUUUUAUAUAUCCUAACAACGUGGGCAAAAAUAGUUUGUAACUCAAUUAUCAAAUAGAGCAUUCUCAUCAUGAUCUUCAUCACUCACGCAUCAUCACGGUUUCAAUUUUUUUUUUUUUAAUACUGGAUUGAGCCUCAAUAUGUCAUGUAACAGUAGUCAUUUAUUCCAUUUUCAGAGCACAAGUGGCUUAGAAUAUCCACCAAUUUGGGGUUUAAGGCAAGGGGGCACCGCAUUUGGGUGUUGCUUUUCAUUAUAAGAAACGUUAGCAUAAGAAAGCUAGGUACGUACCCUUGGAAAUUGAUUGAUAACGUGUAGCCUUGGUGCAUUAUAAUCAAUUCAAAAGUUCAAUUAACAAUUUAGAAUUUUAGGGUAUCUGGUGGUAUGGUUUCAAGAAUUUAUUUCACACUCUGAACUUGAUUGAAACUCUCAUGCACGGUAAAUUAAUUUACAUGAUUUUAAAGUUAUGAUCUCAAAACAAGAGAACAAAGAAACUUGAAUCAAUAAAAAUAAUUGAAUAAUUACAUAGAUCGCGACAUGAUUUCAAGAAACUAAUACAUAACUUUCCAAAUAUUGCUUAUUGUUUCAACACACAUUGGAACACAAGUGAAAUCACCCAAAUUAGCUCAAAGCAAUUCAUGCAACCCAAACAACCUCACAUCAAUUUCCCUCAAAUCAAAUUCAUUUUCCCUCUAUUCCUUGUUUCCACUAAGCCAACAUUAAUCAUUGCUGGCCUAAUAAUUCAACAAAGAAUAAUGGAAUUCCCACCAAAUUAAUUAUUAACAAUUUAUAUAUAUAUAUAUAUAUAUAUAUAUAUAUAUAGAUAUAUCUUCCUUAGUUAUCUUGCUCUUCUCCUACAACCCAAGAUCAUCAUCGUCAUCAUGAUGUUCCACUCCUUUCUCUUCUUUCUUCUCCCAUGACAAGUUCUUGACCUUUUUUCCAUAAGCGUCAACCAAAAACAAGUAAAAGGACACUGAAAAUAUCAUGAUAGCAAUAAGAUACCAGCUGAACUCUAUGUUUAUCAGCGCUUUAGCACGAUGGAGCGACUCAUCAUCAUGGCAGCGAGCCUCCUGGUGACCACCCUCAUCCCAUAAAAGAGAGCACCCUUUAGGGAUAAAGCCUGGAGUCCAAAGCAUAACCCCUGUGGCCAUCAGCCAAACCCCAAGGAAAAGUAUACAAAGAGACCUAGAAAAACCAAGUAUAAAGCUCUUGGGAAAGCCUAUUGCCAUGAGACUAGUUGCCAUGGAGACAAGCGUGAGCAUCUGCAGAAACAAAUGGUAUUGUCCUUCCAGGCCGGCGUGGUCGGUGGAGUGAAGGCGAAACAUGAGUAACUGCUGGCCGAGGGCUACGGCAGCAAGGAGCUGAGUCAGGCCAUACUUAGCCUUAGCGGCAACAAAAUCAAGGACAAUGGAAAAAGAGGUGUAAACGAUGAAGGUUAUGGCGAUGGAGGCGUGCUCAAAGUUACGUAGAUAGGGAGAUGGGAUGGUGCCAUCCGGAUCAAAGCGAUGGUGCCGGAAGAGCUCAGUGAACACGUAGUAGGAGCUCCCUAUCAUGAUGAGAAGGAGCUCCAAGUACCUUAUUUUUGAGGCGGGGAACCAUGGGUGGAUAGUGAAGGAUUUGGGGUUUUGGACAUGGAGCUUGAUGUGAUUAAAGAGGUGCCACAACCCAAUGAGAAAGAACCCUAGUCCUGGAAAAAAGUGCCCUAUCAUAGACCUCGCCAUGUGAGCUAGAAAGAACUACCAAAGUGUCCCUAAAACUCAGUUUUUGUGCUUUGAGGAAGAAGAGAGGCUCGUUUGAGAUGGGGUUUUGAGGGGGUUUGAGGGGUUUUAGAUAUGGGGUAAGGGAGUUCUAUACUUUCAAUUUGCAGAGCUCAUUAGCGUUUGAGGAAGAAGAGAGAGGCUUGUUUGAGAUGGGCUUUUGAAGGGGUUUGAGGGCGUUUUAGAUGGGGUUGAUGAGGAGUUCUAUUUCAAUUUGCAGAGCUCGUUAGGGUCUGCCCGCAGGUAGUGUGCCUUGGGGAGUACGUGUAUUUAUACUUGACCAGUGAACAAGGCAGCCCUUCUCAAUGAGGUAAAAAACAUAUAGUAGAAUGGUAGGGCCAAUCCUUUUGGAUUUGGUUCAGCUAAAUACUAAUUUUCAUGUACCCAUAUGUUUAUGGAGAGAAAAAUAACUUGUUUGGUAGAGAAGAAUUAGCAACACAUUAAAGAAAAUUUGGAAAAUGGGUUUUUUUAAAGGAAGAAAAUAGUUUUAAUUAUUGGCCCAUCAUUUUGUUUAUGGAGAGAAAAAAUAACCAAAUUUUAGAUAUUGAAGGCUAGCUAGAAACAUAUUAAAGAAAUUUAUUUUAUUUUAUUUUAUAAAAAAUAUUAAUUUUAUGAAAUAGAUUAUUCUAAAGAUAUAAGUACAUUGAUAGUAGAAAAUAAAUUUUUUAAUCCAAUCUUGAUUCAAUAUGAAAUGUUUUUGUAUCAAAUCUUACCAAAGAAACAUACUUCAAAAGUGCAUUAAAUUCAACAGUUAUACUAAUAAAUAAAGAUUAUAGCAUGUGAAGAUGUAAAUAUACCAAAUUGUUCAUCUCGGCCUCUCAUCGAUUUAGAUUGCGUUUGACAAUGCUUUUGGAAAGUGUUUUUAGUUUUUUUAAUACUUAAAAUUUUUUAUUUUUCAAGUAUUAAAAAAACUAAAAACACUUCUUAAAAUUACUAUCAAACGCACUCUUAAUAUUGUCAUUACAAGUUCUAUUAAAGAUGAGAAUUAUGAACUUAUGUUUUGGGUCUAAUUUUAUCUCCUUGGUCUUUUUUUUCAAGUAUAAUUUGAAGUUUGAUUGAGCUAUUAUUAGUUACUUUGGAUUCCUUUUUCAAGUAUAGCUUAAUAAUGACCUAUUUCAUGGUUAUUUUUAAUGUACUUAAAGACUUAUUAAAUGAUAGUUGGUGUCAAACUAUUUGCCUUUUAGUGGAUUGCAGGGGUUUUUUUGAAAUGAUAAUCUUCUCUUAAUGGGUUUGAUUCUUGUCAUGUUUAGAUUUAGUAAGAGGGGUUUGAUUAUAAUAUCUAAAGGUACUUUCAAUACAUACGGAGAAGACAUCAUCAAUAAGAUAUACCUCAUAUACAAUUUUUGGUUUUAUUGUUUUAUUGUUAAGGAUGAUAAUGAAUGAGUUUUUUUAGGCAUUUGUCUUGAUCUACCUCUAAUGAGAUGAGUUUGAAAUUUAAAUAAACGGAUUAGGGAUGAGUUUGAGAUUUAAAAAAAAAAAAUCCUAAAUGGGUUCAAGCAUUGCCUUAUUCCGUCCCAUCGCACCCAUAUUAUAUAUAAAAUUAAUUUUUAUAUAAAGAUGAUUUGAUAUAAAGCUUGUGAUACAAUAUUUAUAUUGAAAUCGAAUGUAAUAUUCAAUUAAAUUUUCUUGAGAUUGAAAUAUGAAUUUUUUUUAUUCCUUUAAAAUUUGUAUAGAAUAAAAUGAAAUAUAAUAGUAAUACAAACAAUAGUACCUUUUUACUAAAACUCUUUUUAAAUUUUGUACACAUGCAAACAUGCUUAUUGAGACAUGAAAAAUAAAAAUAAAAAUGAGGCUUAGGUACAAAAUAAGAUUUUAUUUUCUCCUUCAUAUUAUAAUGUACAAUGAAAUAUGUGAACUAUAAUGCAAAUAUAUAAUUAUGUUUUUUUUUCUUUUUUAUUUUUUAUUUUUAUAACAUUUAUGUACUAAUAGUGCAUUUGAGAAUGUUUUUACUUGAAAUUUUUUUUCUAAAAGUGUUUUUAGGAGAAUUUUUUAUCAAGUGUUUUUCCAAAAAAUACUACAAAUGACUUUUUUUUUUUUUUAAUAUUAUAAGUAAUUUUUCAGAUUUUUAAAAGUAUUUUUUAAAAUUUAUUAAACACUUAUUUUUUUUCUUAUAUAUAUAAAAAGGUGAUGCAUGAAAGCUUUCUUGUAGCAUCACCAUUGAUAUUUUUGUUAUUUUAUUUUCGAAACAUUAUUAUUAAAAAGAAAGGAAUUAAAAUUAUUUUCAAAUAAUUGUGAGAUUUUUUAUUUGGAUGUAUUUUGUUUUCUUCUUCAAAUUAUAUUACAAUAAAAAACUCUGAAUUAUAUUUGAGUGACAAACAAUUCAACCACAAUUAUUUCUUGGCAUUUUCUUCUUUAUUCCUCUAACGUUCAUUUAAUAUAAUAUCACACUUCAAGUUGAUUCGAUAUGAGACUUCUCAUAUAAGAUUUAGAUGUAAAUUAUUCAUACAAAAAUCAGUGAAAUUUAAAUUAAAUAUCAAUAUAAAUAUAUAUAUAUUAAAAAUGAAAUUUCUUUUAUUUUUAAAACAUUAUCCUUGUGUAGUUAUCUUUUCUUCUUCAAGCAUCCUCCAUGCAUGUGGGGUUACUAUUAGAUAUGAUUUUGUUUUCUCCUUCCAAGUUCUCGCAAUUAAUAAAUACUAUUGGAUACAAUACAAAUAUACAACUCGAAAAUGAUUAUUUCUUGUCAUUUUCUUCUAUAUUUCUAUGUCCUUGAUUUAACACAACACCUAUUCAAAUUGAUUUAAAAUUGAGGCUUAUGAUAUAAGAUUUGAAUUUAAAAUCCAACAAAUAUUUGUCAAACAUCAUAUAAACAAUAAACCAUUGGAUCCAACAAACAUAUUAUUAGUAUAUACAUUAAAAAAAUACAUAAUAGAUGUUGGAAAUAACUUUGAACUUAAUUCAAGUACUUUUUGGUUGACAAAUAAGCUUAGGAGUAGAAGAUUUUACCUUGCGCUAUGUUUAGUUCUCAAAAAGUACUAAGAAAAGAAAAAAAUAAUGUUAAGGAAAAUGAUUUUCUUAUAUUUAAUUUCAUGAGGGAAGAUAGAAAAGAAAUCAAAUAUAAUUAAAACUUAAUUAGAAAUUUAUAUAUUUUAAAAUUAUUUAAUAUUUGAAAAAAAUAUGAAAUGAGUUUAAAGUAGUAUGUAAUAAUAAUUGAUUAAUUUUGAAUAUAUUUUUAUUUUAUUUUAUUUUUUAUUUUUUCUAUUUUCUUUCCCUCACAUUUUCUCUCAAAAUUUUCAAGAACCAAAUAUUGCGUUAGAAUUUGUUGAGAAGAAGAAAAAUGGGAGAAGAAAUGAAAAGGUGUAGUGUGGAAUAGAAGAAUGAUCAGAAUCAUAUCCCACAGACAACAAUAAUAUUGAAGUUUGUUGGGAAGAAGAAAAAUGAGAGAAAAAGAUAAUUGUAUUUUGUUCCUCAAUUUGUAGCAACCAAAUAGAUAGGUAAAGAUAAUUGAACUUCCUUUUAUUUGACUAUCUUUCUUGCCGACUAAAUAAAAACCUAAUAAGCAGAUACGCAGGAAAAACAUUAGAGUUUUGCCAUGGCAGACUAUACAUGGCUCAAGCUAGGCUUCUUCUUCUCAGGUUAUUAAGACAAAUCUUCAUUUUUCAUCGAGCUACGUUUUAAUUCCAAAAAUAUUUGAGGGAAAAUGCAAGGAAAAAAAUAAAGAGAAAGAAUGGAGGAAAAUAAAAAUAUAUCUAAAGUUAUUUAAUUAUUUUUAUAUGUAAUUUCAAAAUUAUUUCAUUUAUUUGAACUCUUUUAUAUAAAAAUUAAAUAAUUUGAAAAUAUAUAAAUUUUAAAGUAAUUUUAAUUAUAUUUGAUUUUUUUGUUUAUCAUAAUGAAAUCAAGAAUAAAAACUUCUUUAAUAUUUUUUUCUUCCUUUGAUACUUUCUUGGAAUAAAAUAUAGCAUUAGGCUCCUCCUAUCAAUAUAACCAUGAGAGAUUGGAGCUUUAGUUCGGCGAAACACUAGAGAGAACGACGUCCAUUCCUUGAUUAAAAAAAAGAAGUGCUUAAGACCUUGGUAUUAUACCAAUUAUUAUCAUAAAAGUAAAAGACAAUAAGUAACUUUUAUGCAAUUGACCUUUUGAGACAAUUGAAACUCAAAUAGUCAUCUUUCAUGCUUCAAAAUGUAUUUCCUUUAUUUGGAAAAAAUACAACCAAAUAUUACGAAUAGUCUUCUUCCUUGGGUUUUCAUAAUUUUUGGGCAACUAAAUUAUGGAUACUUCCUCCUUAGUCUUCUUGUGGAUGUGCCGAUAGAGGACACGUUACUAUGAGCUAACGAUUGAGGUUGUAUCUUAGAUCGAUUAUUAUUCAUUAACAUGACACGUAGAGAGGUAAUAACAACUUUAGGACAAUGUGUUACCACUUGCCUCAUCAAGCUAAGUCAAUUUUUCUUUAACUUUGAUUUGAAUUAUUAUAUUAUAGAUUUAAGGAAGAACUUAAAGAAAAAAAAAAUAGAAAGAAUGUAAAAGAAUACUUAAUUUUUCUUAACAAUCUAAAACUACUAUUCCUUCGAGGGAAAAAGGUAUUUUUUAAUGAUAUAAUUUGACAUCUUUAUUUUUUUAUUUACAAAAGAUCUUUGACAUCUUUAUUACUUUAUUUGCAAAGACAAAUAACUUUGAAAAUUCUCAAACUUUAUUUUUUUUAUUGUGAGUACUUAGAAAGCUAAUUUAUUCUAUUAGUAUUAUUUAAAAAAAAACUUGUAAGGGAACACAUGUUUUGAUACAAUAAAAAAUAAAUAAAUAAAUAAUUUUGAAACUUGAAAGUAUAAGAUUCAGGUUCUAUAGUAAAGUUAUAUAUAUAUUUAUAUCAGCUGACUUCCUCAAGCACCUCAUUUGUGCCUAGGAAGUUCUUUGAGAGGAUCUAAGAACAUAAAAUUAGAUUGAAUCCAUAGAAAUGCGUAUUUGAAGUGACAAUCAAUAAGCUACUUGGGUUUAUGGUUAGUCGGAGAUAAUGCUAUCCUACGACAUGAAUUUCACGAUAGGCACAAUCCUUAAAAAGUUUUUCGCAAUCGAAUACCAUCAUACCUCUUUAAGGAACAAACUAACUACUUUGUGAAAAGUUUUCUCUAGUUGAAUACUAUUAUGCCCAUUUCACGAACAAAUCAUUUGCUAUAUCUAUACGUCAUUUGCUGAAAAAAUUUUAUUUAUUGGCUUUAUUUUAAGAAAUUUUAUUUGUUGGAUUUUUAUAUUUAAAUAUUUACUGCUUCAUUUGGAUUAUUCUUUGCUUAUAUUUGUUGUUACAUUUUGAUUAUUAUAAUAGUUAAUUUAGUGUUGGCAUAUAAUUUAAUUAUUGUUUCAUAGAAAACAUUUUAUUGCUAAAAUUACUUGAGUAAGUUACUGAAAAAGAUUAUAUUGGAAAGUAUUUUACUCUUAAAUUAUUUGAGUAAGUUGUUAGAGUUAUCUUAUUCAAAUAUUAUUUGUUGGAUUAUUUAUUGAGAUAGGUUUCUUUAUAGUUGGAAUUUAUUUUAUAAAGUUGAUAGAAUUUCCUUUGAAAUUGUGACCGUAACUUAUUAUUUAAAAGAAAAAAACUUUGAAUCAAUUGAUUUAUUAUUAACAUAAAUGUCUUUAUACUUGAAGACUAUUUUUACCCUUGUUAAUAAUAAUAAUAAUAAUAAUAAUAAUAAUAAUAAUAAAUCUCAUUUUGUUAUAAUGACUACCUUUGAAGUUGAAAAAAGUCAGUGGGUUCCACUUUUGAAGAUGACAAAAACAAAUGAAAUAUCGAUUAACUGUAUUAGGGUUUAUUUCCACUCUAGAAGAAAAGAAUGACACCAACCAAAAUGAAGAAUCCUCAUCCUCCUUAGCACUAGAACAAAUAAAUCAUCAUUGUCAUAAUCAGAUUUUUAGUCCACAUUACUGUAGGGACCUCUCUCCUUGAUGACACGUGGCACGCAUUUCUAUCCGGAUUUCCCCAAGAGGACAUGUGGCGCGCUUCCCCUAUCCGGACUCCCUCAGGGAGAGGCACACGACACUCGCAAACAUCGCAUCCGAACGACCGUCAUAUCACAUCCGGACGACCGACAUAUCCUAUCCGGAUAUGUUUGUCUGGAUCGUUGACUAAAGUAAGCAAAUCUUACUACGUCAUUCCGACAGCUUGCCACAGCCCACGUUCUGCCACCUGCAGAGCGAAAGGACAGGAAUGAUGGCAAGUCACCUCCCACGAUCUCUGACAGCCGCCCAUAGGGUGAUGAUGGCCCUGCCACCACCUAGAGGCAUCAUGACAAGCCAAAAAGUCUCCCUACCAUUAAAGAGGGAGACAGAGCUUCUGAUACUAUAUAUAUGGACCUUCACACAAGGAGGAAAGUAAGCUUGCUAUACCUAGUAAAAGGCCAACUGCUUUAUCUCUCUAACCAUGGCUGACAAAACCAUCGGAGGGUGUGUCCAGACACCUUGUCCGGACACCUUUUGCAGGGACGACUGAACUAGAAUUCUAUCUUGGUUGAAAGCGUGCGUCCAUUUGGCAGCUAUGUGGAUCAUUGGGACGCAAGGCCUCAACAACUACCACUAGUGCUAAAGAUCUUUGGAAUGCCUUCGAAACCCAAUAUGCAUGGUGGAGUUGAUGUGGGUAUAGAACAAUAUUUUAUAGUUUCUGAUUUCAAUAAGUUCAUCAUGGUAGAUGGAAAACCUAUAAGUAAUCAAAUUCAUGAGUUUCAAGAGCUUCUAAGAGGGGUAGAAAGAAAAAGACACAAUUUUAAUUUAAUGAAGACUUUAAAGUAUCUUGCCUUAUAGAUAAACUUCCUCUUUCAAGGUCCAACUUUGCUCAAUCUCUUAGACAUAAGAAAUGAGAAUUAACAUUGAUCCAAGUAAUUAAUUGAAGAAAAUCAUAGGUAAAAUGUUAAGCAAGAAAAUGAAAUAAAGUCAAAGGUAAAUCUAGUGGAGAUGUCAAAUAAAUCAAACUUUAAAAAUUAAUUUCGUUCUAGGGGAAAGAAUUUAAAAAUAAAUAAUAGAUAAAAUAAUAAUCAUCAAAAUCCUUACCAAAAUAAUCAAUCCCGUCAUCACUAACCAAACCACCAACCCAAUUAUGUAAAGGACAAAAGUAAUGGAAAGAAAGCUUGCUUUGUGUGCCACUAUUAUAAAAGGAAUAGGGAAUACAAGCCCAACAACAACAACAAACAAGGUUCAAGAGCUCAAAUUAAUAUGUUGAUGGAUGGUGAGAACUCAAGUGAAUAUUCUAUUAGUUAUAAUCUUGAUUAGCCCUUGAUUAAUUUUACCUAUUAUAAUAAAGAUUAGUAGUUAGAUUUUGGAGCUAAUGUCCAUAUAUGUCUUGAUCAUGCAUGUUUUAAAUUAUAUUGAACUCAAGUGGAGAAAGUGUGACUUUAAGAAAUGACUUCAUCACAUAUGUGCUAAGAAUAGCACAAGUAGACUUGAAGAUGACAUUUGGGAAGGUCCUAACUCUUAAAAAAGUGUAACAUGUUACAAGAGUGAGAAGAAAUCUAAUUAGUAUUCAUUCUUAGUCCAACAAGGUUGUAAAGUUGUAUUGGAGUCCAAUAAAGUAGUAAUUACCUACAAUAAUGUAUUCAUUGGACACAAUUAUGUAUGCCCUCUAUUUAAGUUGAAUGUACACUUAUUGGAUGAAAGUAAUAAAAUUCUUUUUUAUGUUUUCGAUAUUGAAUUUAGCAAUAAUUAGCAUGGUGGAUUGGAACAUGUGAGCCUAGGAAAGUUAAAAAGAUUGAUGGAUCUCAACUUAAUUCCUACGGCAAAUAUGGAUUUUAAACAUAAAUAUGAAAUAUGUAUACAAGCAAAACAACUAAAGAAACCUUAUAACCUAUAGUGAGAAAUACUAAACUAUUAGAAUUAAUGCAUGGUGAUUUAUGUGACGCAAAUCAACCUUCUAUUAGAGUUGAGAAUAAAUACUUGCUAACCUUCAUUAUUGAUCACUCCAAGUAUUGCUAUGUAUACCUUAUCAAAACUAAGGAUGGAGUAUUUGAAAAGUUGAAGUAAUAUAAGAGUGAAGUUGAAAAUCAGUUAGAAAGAAAAAUUAAAGUACUUGGAUCAACUAGAAGAAGUGUAUAUACUAGAACCAACUUAACAACAUUUUGUGAGAAACAUGGAAUAAUAUAUGAAGUCAUGCCAUCUUACUCACCUCAAUCAAAUGGUGUAGUUGAAAGAAAGAACUGCACUUUAAUGGAUAUAGUAAAUGUUAUACUUUUGAAUUCAUGUGCCCUUAAAACUUGGAGAAACAAUAUUAUCAUGUUACCUAUUAAUUAAAUAGAGGCACUAUUAAAGAUAAUGAAAAAGCUACUUUUGAAUUAUGGAAAAAUAGAAUUCUUAAAUAGAUAUAUUAAAAUUGUGGGGGUGUUUAUAAAAAAUAACUAUACCUAAACCUUAAAGGAAAAAAAAUAAGACCUAAAACUAUAGACAUUAUCUUCAUAGGAUAUGCUCAUAACCAUAAUGCAAAUUAGUUCCUAUUUGUAAAAUCUAAAGUUAAUGAGAUUUAUAAUAAUACAAUAAUUGAAGCUAAAGAUGCCACAUACUUUGAAGAUAUAUUUCCCUUUAGAACUAAAGUUUCUAAUCAAGUCAAUGAUAAACCAUCCAAUUCAAAGCAUAUUUUCAAUGACAUGACUCGCUUAAAUUUGGAUGUGGAACCUCAUGUUGAACCUAGAAGAAGUAAAAGAGGAAAAAUAAUAGAAAAAACUUCGAAGAUGACUUUUAUACUUGAUUAGUGAAAGGAUAAGUUAACCUAUCAAGAGGCUAUGACUUCUAUAAAUGCACCUUUUUUACUACUUUGAUACUUCUUCUCUGAUCUCUAGGAUUACAACUAUUAGAAUUUUGAUAGUCUUAGCAUCAAUCCAUAAUUUAGUAAUACAUCAAAUGGAUGUUAAAACCUUUUUUCUGAAUGGUGACUUAGUGAAAAAAAUAUACAUAGAACAACCUAAAGGUUUUAAGAUAAAAGGAUAAGAGCAUAAGGUAUGUACAUUAGUGAAAUGAUCAUUAUAUGGUCUUAAAUAAGCUCUAAAACAGUGGCAUGAAAAGUUUGAUAAAGUCGUUUUAGAUUAUGGGUUUAAAAUUAGUGAUCAUGAUAAAUGUGAAUAUAAAAUAGACUUAAAAGAAUGCAUCAUACUUUGUCUUUAUAUGGAUGAUAUUCUAAUUUUUGAAAAUAAUAUGGAAAUAGUGAAUGACAUGAAAGAUUAUUUGUCUACGAACUUUGAGAUGAAGGAUUUAGAAGAUGCACAUAUAAUAUUGUGAAUGAGACUUUCAAGAACAAGUGAAGGAAUAACUUUAGAUCAAUCAAAUGCCAUUGAAAAAUAUUAAAGAAGUUUAAUUACUUUGAUAGUAAAUUAGUAUCCACACCUUAUGAUUCCAAUAUGCAUUUGAAUAAUGUUGGAGAACCAAAAUAAUAAUUAAAGUACCCUCAAACACUAAGGUCUCUAUUGCGUAUUAUAAAUAAAAUUAGACCUGGUAUAGCAUAUGUAGUUGGGAGACUAAGUAGGUAUAUUCAUAAUCUUUGUUAAGGAAUGUUGGAUUCCUUUAGAAAAAGUCUUUAAGUAUCUCAAAGGAACUUUGACUUAUUCUUUAUGUUACAAAGGAUUCUCUAAUAUAGUGGAAGGAUAUAAUGAUGCAAAUUGGAUAAUUGAUAAUCUCGAUGCAAAAUCCACUAGAGGAUAUGUUUUUUAGAAGGUGCAACUAUUUCUUGGGGAUCUAAGAAACAAACUAUGAUAUCAAGAAAUACAAUGAAAUCUAAGUUAAUUGCACUAGAUACAACAUGCAUUGAGGUUGAAUGGAUUAAAGACUUACUAUUGGAUAUCCCUUUAUUAAGUACCUACAUGUAAUAUUUGUGCUUUGUGAUAGUAAAGCUAUAAUAGAUUUGGUGAAUCCAUCCCAUACAAAUAAGAAGAUGAAUAAACACAUAUAAAUGAGAUACAAAUUAAUAUGAAACCUUCCAAGUAAAAAUGUGAUAUCAUUGGAUUUUGUAAGAUAUAAAAAAAAUGUUGUUGAUGAGUUGACCAAGGGUUUUUCUAAGAAUGUUGUCCUAGAAUCAUCAAGAGGGAUAGAGCUUAAGUCCUUAAGAAAGUCACCUUUAAUUGGAGGUAAUCCAACCUUUGUGAUUGAAGAUCCCAUGAAGAAGGUUCAAUGGGUAGAAACAAUUCACACUGCAUGACUUAAUAACACUAUUUUUUAGGAAAUUUUUUUUCUCAUUUCUACGGUGAUAGUGCUUUUGAUGUGAUAUUACAUAGGGUAUUUCCUUGAAUGAGCCUGAGCUAGCUAGGAAAUUCUGCAAGGUAUAGGUCACAUGUACCCUUGAAAGACUUACCUAAAUAAGAAUCUUCUUGAGGCCACGACUAUAAGAGUAAGGUUUCCCUAGUAACUCUCAUGAGAAUCAAGAUACUAAUGCAUAGUCAUUAAUAGUACUAACUCGCUUGGAACCAAGUCCUAUACCAAUACAUGUAUGUGACAUAUUAAAGUUUGGCUCAGGGACUUAGACCUAAUUCAAAACAUAGUUUACUAUGGAUUCUCAUAUGGAAAUUGUCAACACUAAGUGUAGGUUCAAGUUUGGAAAACACCUAUACCUAUUACAUAGUAUAAAGUUGUCUAUUAUAAUUUCUCUAUUUAUUUAUUUAUUCAUGUUUAUUAUUAUUUUGAAGUUUUAAACCUUAUGAGGGAAUGUCAUAUUUUAUUUAAAAAUAUAAAGUUUUAAAACUUCUUUUUACAAAAAUAAAUAAAUAAAUAAAGGUUAAGAUUUGGUAUUAUAUCUUUUAUUGUUAUAAAGGUAAAAGACAAUGAAUGACUUUUAUUUUUCCAACCAUUGGAUUGAAUUUUAUAAGAUUUGAUUGGUUUUUAUGAUAUUUUAUGCAAUUGACCAUUUUAAAAUAAUUGAGACCCAAAUGAUCAUUUUCUCAUUCUUUAAAAUUCUUUAUUUGGGAAAAUACAACAAAAUAUUACAAAUCAUCUUCUUCCUUGAGUUUUCACAUUUCUUGGAUGGCUAGAUUAUGAAUAGGUUCUCUCCGUAGUCUUCUUGUCGAUAUGUCAUAGAAGGGACAUUGUUGUGAGCCAACAAUUAAGAUUGUAUUUUGGAGCAACUAUUUUUUGUUAAUAUUGCAUGUAGGUAGGUGAUAGCAGUUUUAGGGUAAUAUGCUACCACGUGCCUCACCAAGCCAUCUCUUCUUUAACUUUGUUUCAAUUGUUAUAUUAUAGUUUUCUAUUUUCAUGUUUUAGUGUUAAGAAAAAAAAAUAGAGAGAACACAGAAGAAUACUCAAUUUUCCUUAACACUUUUUAUGGUCAAAAUGAAACAUUUUUUUUGUUUUUUUGUCUCUCAAUCUUUACGCACUAGGCUUAGCUUUUUAAUUGUUAGGGGUCUGUUUGACACGGUAAUUAGCUUCUGAUGAAGUGUUUUUUUUUACGAAAAUUGGUACAACGAAGUGGUUAUCCCCCUUCAUAUGCUUGAAUUAUAGAACUAAUUAUUUAAAGAGAAACAAAGUACUCAAAUGACUUCAUAAAAUGAACUUUUUUUAUCAUUAACUUGGGAAAAAAAAAAACCUUUUGCAGCAAGUGCUUAUGGCAAUUCAUUCCCUAUCAAAUUUUUAAGAAAUCAAAUAAAAAAUUAAAAACCCUAAAAUUAGACUAUUAAGAAUAGUUGCAAAUUGGAAAGUCAUCAUGUUAGCUCAAGGUUUCUCCCAAUUGAGUUUUGAUGAUAAGAAAACAAGGUUAAUUGUAUUAAUAACUCAAUUAGGUUAAUUGUUUUAGGUUUUCAAAAAUUUAAAAUAAUUCAAGUUCAUUCAAUGAAUGAUCAUGGUUAAUGAAGAGUACUAGAUACUAUUGAAGACCCUUAAAACCAAUGUAAGAUUGUUCUUGUUGGUGCACUUCAAUCAAAUAAAAAAUUUCAUGUACUUGAAGGUUUCAAAAUCACCCUUUUAUGCUUUUAAAUUGAAUAUAUUUUAGUAAAAUUGGAUGGUUUCAUGUUAUCCUAUAAACCCUAACUUAAAUUCUUUCAAAUAUAGGGUUUAUGAAAUGGUUUGAAAACCUUCCUAAGGGUUUAUGAUAUCGAUAGGUUCUCAUUUCUACUAAAUUACAUCAACAAGUCAAGGUAAUGGGGAAUCGAUUGAGUUGUAGGAAUAAAAGCUUGUUGUAACUAUUUCAAGCAUGAGCCUCCACUAAUCGAGGACUAGUUGAGCAUAGAUUGUUCAACCGGUUGAGCAACCUAUUCCAAAUGAUCACCUAUUAUAGCAUUAAAUUCCCAAUGAUUGUUCAACUAAUCAAAUCAAUUGUUCAAUUUAUAGAACCAAAGUUGUGGAUUUUAAAGUUCUCAGGCUAUCCGUCUUUAUAGUGAUGGUUUUAAGAGCAUUUUAUGCAUGAAAAAUCGUAAGUUUUCAAUUACUUCCCUACCUACAAUCUUUUUUACGGUUCUUAAGUGUAACCUUUCUUUCACUUGCAAAUUCUAUAGCACACCAUAAAAUCAAUCCUAGUUUUUAUUGUAUUGUGAGCUUGAUUUGUUUCAUUAGAAUUGAGUGUUCUUCUUUCAUUCUUACUAGCUUCCAAAUUAGUGAUAUUUAUUGUUCAAAUGAGAUUGAUCAUUUGAGGUGACUUAUGAAGGUCGAUUAAAACCUUGGAAUUCAAUUGUAGACAUUAAAGACUUGAGAUUUUAUUGAUAAUAUCCCUUAAAAAUAAAUAUUGCUCAAUAUUUUUAUUUUUAAAAAUUUCUAUAAUAUAGUUGCUAACUAAUUUGGUAUUCAUGUAAUGAUUAUUCAAUCUAUUAAAAGACAUCAAAAGAUUUUUUUUCUCUUAAUAUUUGAAUAGUGAAGAGGUUGUACAUGAAACCAAUUAUAUUGGUACUUAACAACAAAAUGGUUGUCUUGAUACUUCACAAUAAAAUGAUGUGAUCAAAAGGAAAAUUAUAAAUGUAAUAGAUUUCUCCAUAUUAUUUAACUAUAUAAUGUAUUGUGAAUGCCACUCUCAAGUCAUUUAGAAUAAGACCCAUCAUUUUUAUGUGAGGCCAAAUGCUAUAUUUUAAUUGGAAUCACCAAAUAAUUGAAGUUAGAACCAUUUUAAAAGCAUUUUUAAUUAUAAUUUGCAUAAAAGUUUAACUAAUAAAAAAAAUAAAGGAAAGGAAUAAUUUUUAAAUAAAAAGUAAUUAUGUAAAUACUUAAUUAAUAUUUAAUUAUAUAUAUAUUAGACUAUUUAAACUUCACCAUUUCUAAUUUCUUGUUUAAAUUAUUAGUGAGAUGAAAAUCACUAUCACUUAGCAUCAUCCUUUCACUAAUGUGAAACUUCUUGGAUGUUGCCUUUGACUUAACGCUCAAGCCUCUCCAUGAAAUUCCUUCCUUAGGUCAAUUAUAAGAUUCCAUGUAGUGAUGUUACAUAUCAAUAUGAGUAACUCACCAUCCUUCCAUCAAGUCCUAAUCUCAAAACCAACGCCAUGUUAGUGGGGCCAAAGUCUAGGAAGUGCCCAAAUUUGAUCUUAAUUAACCCCUAAAGAAUUUGCACAGACUGUUACAACUCCAAAACAAAACAUCUUUGCAUCUUCCUAGAAGGAGCAAAGCACUUGAUGGAAAAGGGAUAUACUCUUUUUUUAUAUGAUAUGUCUAAGUUUUUCACUACAUGACAUGUAUUUUUUAAUGUUUUACAAUUAUUAUCUUUUAAAAUUAUUAAUUGAAUAGUGAAAUUGGUUACAUUAUUAGCAAAGUAUCUAGAUUCACAUUUAGGGUUGUGGUUGCUUCAAGAGUAAUUCUAAUAAAAAAAAACUUUUAACUUGUAGUGCUCUUAUUAAUACUACUUUGUCAGAAAUAUUUUUAUAGAGAAUCAGUCAAUAUUUAAAUAUAAGUAAAAAAAAAUUGAUAAUAUUUUUACAAUAUGUUACAUAAUAAAAAAAAUAUAAGUAAAAAAAAAAUUGAUAAUAUUUUUUACAAUAUGUUACAUAAUAAAAAAAAAAAGUAACUUUUAGAAGAUAUAUAUAUAUAUAGUACGAGUCUCAAAAUCAUUUCAAGUAAUUCUUCUAUUCUUAAAAGAUAUUUAAAUAUGAUUUUUAAAACUUUGUCAAACUUCGAAUUUUUUUUAUUAAAAAAAAUACUUUCAAAUAUUGAAAAACAUUUUUCAAUAUCCAAGAAUACCUUUAAUUUAAAUAGGAUUUUAAUACUUUGAAAGUCUUUUUGAAGACAUAAUAAAAAUGUCUCUUUUAAUAAGUUAAUAGACUUAAAUAAGAUUAAGAAAGAUAUUCAAAAGCUUCUUGUCAUGUUUUUAUUGGGAAAAGACUAAUCAAAAGGGACCACAACUCAACCAGUAUUAAGUAAAUGCUUUAAAGCAAUUGUCUAUCAUUGUUAUUUGAUCCAAAAUACCAUGUAAAUAUAAUAUUUUUAAAAUUUAAAACAAAAGCCAAUUACUUCCAAAAUCGAACUCAAAAGGUCAUCAAAAUUUUACAAUUUCUUUCCUAACAUUGUUAUCUUUUUGCUUAUUAUCUUCUAUAACACCACCAAAAUGAAUGCUUUAGCUUAAAGGAAUAUAUCAUCAAUAACACUAUAUGACACUAUUUAUGGUAAAGACAACUAAUAUUGUGACUUGUCCUAAGUGUUGAUAUGAAAUCAUUUCAUAUAAAAGAAAAACAUAAUGGAAUAUGAAAGAAAUUAAAUUUGUCAUAUAAGGAUAGGCUGAUAUGUAUUAAGCCUAAAAAUUAUAGCUUUCAUAGAAAGUUAGAUGAGAACAAUUAAUACUUAUAAGCAAUAACAAUUAGGAAGUUCAUUGUGUGUGUAACACUAAUCCCCACACUCUUGUUCUAAUAAAAAUUCUAUUUAUAUUGCAUUUUGCUAUUUAUUCACACAAUUAUUAAUCUCAAUGUAAUUAUUGUGUUCUAAAAAAUCAACGUAUCUCAUAUUUGUAUCAAUUAAGCCUUACAUGGGUGCAAUUAAUUAAUCCUUAAUUAGCAUUAGUCUAAGGUAUUAUUUAUUUUUUUAAUUUUUUCAUGAAAGUAAUCUACUUUCAGAAUUUAUAUUUUUUACUUUUUGUUAACUUAUUACUUUUUUUAAAAAAAAAAAUUAUUAAAUAAAAAAUUCAAAAUAUUUAGUUUUUUUUUAAUGCUAAAAACAACUUAUUAGUUUUUCUUUACUUCUUAAUACUUAAUAAAAAUAAAAUAUUUAAAAAAUAAAUAGUUUAAUACUUAAUACUAUUAUAUAUUAUUUAAUUUAAGUUCUAUGAAUAUGUGCCUCAAAAUCUCCUAAACAUAUCACAUAAUAAAUUUAGAAAAAAAAAAUGUAGUUCCAUGCAUGUACUCAAGUAUAAGAAAAUUUCAAAACCAUACCUUAUCCUAACCAUGAGUAGUUUGUUACUCAAUUAUCAAAUACACAUGGCAUUUCACAUCAUCAUAAUCACCACCCAUUAUGAUUUCUAUUUUUUUUUAUAAUAAAUUGGGCCUUACAUGUUACGUAAGGCAAGGUGGCAUAGAAUAUUCACCAUUUUAGGGUUUAAGGCAAGGUGGCACAACCAUUGGGCGUUGCUUUUCAUGGUAUAAAAUGUUAGCUCAUGAAAAGUACCCUUUGACAUUGAUUGACAAUUAAACGUGUGGCCUUGGAGCAAUAUAAUCAAUUCAAAAUUUCAAUUAACCAUAUGGAAAUCAAUGGUUUCUUGCUUAUGUCCUCGAGUCAAUACAAUUUUACACACAAAAGAAAAAUGAUGAGAUUGGAGAAUUCAUUUCACGUUGAAUUCAUGAUAUGUUACAUAAUUUUUUAUAAAAACAAAAUAAUGCUUCAAAUUAACUUCAAUAUUACAAAUUUUAGGCACAACAAAUUGCAUGAUUUCCAAAUUAUUCUCUCAAAACAAGAUAGUAGAAUAACUUAAAGCCAUAUUAAAUUGUGAGCAAUCGAUUAAAAUAAUUGAAUUGUGAUAGAAGAUCGGAUUUAGCACAUAAUUUUUAAACAAGAUGCAUGAUUUUAAGAAGUUAAUAAAUAACUUCCCAAAUAUUUGCUUAUUUUUUCUAUACAUCCAAACACAAGCGAAGUCACCCUAAUUAAGCUUAAAGCCACCAAUGCAAGACAACAAACAAUCUCAUACCAAUUUCCCCCAAAGCAAAUUCACUUCCAACUUUCUUCUUCUUCUCCUUCUUCUUAUUCUACCUUUCAAUGUCCAUGGGAGCAAAGGCCUGUCCCAUGUGAAUAAAUCCGAGCUUGGUCUUCUCCGGCGAUAGGGCUUCUCCCUCUUCUUCUUCUUCUUCCUUCCCCAAUGACCAGUACUUGACCUUUUCGCCAUAAACUUUAACUAAAAACAAGUAGAAGAACACUGAAAACAUCGCCAUACCGAUAACAUACCAGCUGAACUCUAUGUUUAUCAGCGCUUUAGCUCGGUGGAGCGACUUGUCAUCAUGGCAGUGCGCCACCUGGUGGCCCUCUUCCCAGCGGAGGAAGCACCCUUUAGGGAUAUAGGCUGGAGUCCAAAGCAUAACCCCCAUGACCAUCAGCCAAAGCCCUUGGAAAAGGAUACUAAUAGACCUAACAAAACUCAGUAUAAAGCUCUUGGGAAGGCCUAUUCCCAUGAGAGUAGAUGUUAGGGACAAGGAUAUGAGAAUCUGCAGAAGCAUAUGGUACUGUCCUUCCAUGCCAACAUGAUCUGUAGAAUGAAGGUGAAACAACAGGAGCUGCUGCCCAAAGGCUAUGCCAGCAAGGAGCAGAGACAGGUCAUUCCUCGCCUUAACACCGGCACGAUCAAGGGCAAUGGCUGAUGCCGCGUAAACGAGGAAGGUCAUGGAGAUGGAGGAGUGCUCAAAGUUGUGGAGAUGGUUAGAUGGGAUGGUGCCAUCCACAUCAAAAGGUUGGUGCCUAACAGGGCCAAUGAAGAGCUCCAUGGAUAUGGAGAUGGAGCACCCUAUCAUGAUCAGAAAGAGCUCCAAAUACCUUAUUUUUGAGGUGGGGAACCAUGGGUGACUAGUGUAGGAGUGGGGGUUUUGAGCAUGAAGCUUGAUAUGGUUAAAGAGGUGCCACAACCCAAUUAGAAAGAACCCUAGCCCUGGUAAAACAUGUCCUACCAAAGACCCCAUAUACCCUAAAUUUCAAGGGACAAUUUCAGGGGACAGGUGCCCUAAAACCUAGUUUUUGUGCUUUAAGGAGGAGGAGAUGAGCUUGUUUGAGAUGGGGUCUUGGAGGAGUUUGAAGGGUUUUUAGAUAUGGGGUUGAAGAAUUGAAUUUUUCUGGGGGGCUUGGCUUAGAGAGUUGUAAUACAAUUUGUUGAGUUCAAUGGGGGUUUAGCCAUAUGGUGGGUGGCUUGGGAAGUAGGGUUAUUUAUACUCAAACAAUAGCCCCUUUUUCAUGUGACAGACCUUUCUUUAGAAGCUAAAGAAUAGAAUAAUGGUAGGGCCAAUCCUUUUUUAUUUAAUGGACUAAAUAAUUUUCAUUUACGUACCCAACUUGUUGAUGUAGAUAGAGAAGAAUAUGCAACAGAUAAAAGAAAAUUUGGGCAAUGGGCUUUUCUAAGGAAGAAAAUAGUGUUACUUAUUUGCCCACGUUUAUUUAUGGGGAGAAAAAUAAGGAGUUGUUUUUGAAAAUAUUAUUUUGAAGAAAUGGGUUAUUCUAGAAAUGCUGAAUGUUAUUUUUUUGUUUAUUAAAGAUGCAAGUACAUAAAUAAUGGGAAAUAAUUUUGCUAAAUGAAUGUAAAAUAUUCAAAGAAAAAGUUUUUUUUUUUUUUUUAAAUCUCAUUCAAGAAACAUACUUAAAAAUGCAUUAAUUUCAUGAAUUAAAGUUCUAGAUAAAGAUUUACACCAUCCCUUGAUUUAGUGAAUCAUUGAUAUAUAUAUAUAUAUAUAUAUAUUUGAUUUUGGUUGAUUUAUUAAAAUUAAAAUAAAUAAAAGAAAAUGAAGGACAUAUAGACCUUUCUCCAUAUGGAGUUUUUUUUUAUUAUAUGUUCCCAUUGUUAGUCAAAGUUCAAUAAUUUUCUUUAAUCGUGUUCACACACUUUGAUACCAUUGUUUUUAAAGUUAGGUUUUAAGUUUUAUUUUCAAAUAUUUUUUUUGCAUGUAAGAAAAAUAAUAUAAGUCAACUUUUAUUAGAAAUUCAAAGUUUCGCUAAUAAUUUUCUAUUAAUUAAAUUUCGAAAAUAUUCCUACAAAAAUAUUCCUACUAUUUAGAUUUUAUAUAUUAACUUGGUAUUAUCUUUCUAUUAACUUUUUGGUAAUUAAAACUACAUCUUUUUUAUUAAAGUUAGAACUCAUUUAACAAUUAUUUUAAGAAAUGUUUUUAGAGUAUGUUUAAUAAUAAUUUUAGGAAGUAUUUACAAUAUUUUUAAUAUUUGAAAAUUUUUAUCUUUCAAGUAUUAAAAAUACUAUAAACACUUCCUAUAGUCACUACCAAACUCACUCUUAAUUUUUUUAAUACUAAGAUUUUUUUUAUGAAAAGAGUUAUUUUCAAGUACUAAAAAAAUUAAAAACGUUUUUUAAAAUAAUUACCAAACAUGCUCAUAAUUUUAUAUUUAAAGAAAAGAAAAAAAUAAAGAUAGAAAGACAAAAAAAUAAAAAUAAAUAGAGAGGACAUCUUCAUCUAAUUCUAAGAGUAUAUUUAGUUUCCAGAAAAUACUAUGAAAAGAAAAAAAAAAUGUAAAAUAAAAUUAUUUUUUCAUAUUUGGUUGUCCUAUAAAAAAUAUAAGAAAAUAAAUAAAUAUAAUUAAAAGUAAUUAAAAAAUUUUAUAUUUUUAAAUUAUUUAAUCUUUAUAUUGAUGAGUUAAAAUAAAUAAAAUGAGUUUGAAAUUAAAAAAAAAAAUUUAUCAACUUUUAAUUUAAUUUUUUAUUUUCUUUCAUUUUUUCUUUCCUUUUAUUUUUCCUUUGUAUUUUCUUUUUCUUGCAUUUUCCUUCAAUUUUUUUGACAACAUAAAUUUUUCUUUAAUUCAUUAAUUAAUUGAUUUUUUUUUUUAACUUGAAUUCAAGUUGGUUGGAAUCGAGGCAUAACAACUCCUUUUUACUCAAAACUAUUUUUUAAAGUUUGUGCAUAUGCAACGGUGCUCAUUGAGACAUGCACCAAAAUAAUUAAAAAUAAAUAAAAUACAAUAAAAUCGAGACUUGUGGCACAAAAUUUAGUUUUAUACGCAGAAUGAUAUUGAUAUAAAAAUAGGGUCAUGUGCAAACUUUCUCUGGAAAAUCUAAUAUUAUAUUUCUUUCUUUUAUUUUUUUAAUGUUGGGUGGAAUAAAUAAUUUCAAAAUAUAAGAUUUUGUAUUGAUUGUGGGCAUUUGAUGUGUUAGCUAGUGUGGUGCAUGUCUCAAUGCAUGAAAGAAUUAGAUUAUAGAUGUAUUUAAAAUAAUAGAUUUGAAUGAAAAUCGAGAAAAAGAAAAAGAAAAAGGAAAAAGAAAAAAAAAACAUUUUCUGUCUUUAUCAUUUUGAAAAGAAGAGAAUUAUGAUUUUUCAAAUGAUAGUGGGAUUACUCACUAAUUUGAUUUUCUUCCUACUUCAAACAAUAAAAUACAAUCAAAAAUUUUAAUUUAUAACUUAAAUGUCAAAAUAAAUUUGAGUAUAAUUAUUUUUUGUCCUUUUCUUCUACAUUUUUAUAGCUUUACGCUAUUGGCUGAUUUGACAUGAAACUUAUACCAUAAUAUUUAGAGUGAAAUCCAAUAUAAAAAUAGAUUAAGAGACCCAAUAUAUUUAAAAAAUUUCUAAUUUUAAAAACGAAUUUGAUAAAUUUUAAAUAGACAAUAAUAUUUUGAGAAUCAAUUCUUAAAAUAAUAUUUCUUGAAAUAAAUUUAAGGUAUUUUUAAUUAUUUUUGUUGAGUUUCUAAACAAGAAAAAUAUUUUGAUAAUUUUUUCAUUAUGUAAAAGUGUAUAUUACUUCUUGAAGAAUAAAUUUAAGAAACUAUUUUUCAUAUUUGUGUUAUGGAACAAAAGUAUAUCUUUGAAGCAAUCUUCAAUUUUUUUUCAAAGCAUUGUCAAAUGGAUCAUUUCAUCCAACAUAAUAUUCUACCUUCUAUUUUCAAAUUUUUAAAUGAGUGGAAGGAAAUAAUUUCAAAACAUAAAUUAUGUAAUGAUUAUAUGUAACAAUUAAAAUUUUAUUACAUAGUUUGAAUUGAAAUUAAGGAAAAAAAAUAUUAAAUUGUGAAGUUUGAACAAGUUUUGUUACAUUUCAUUUGGGAUGUCAAUAGUUGAGCUGUCGAGUCAACUCACAAGAGUUGAAGAGGACAACGCUCUUAGAGAAAUUUUUUUUUAUGUGAUGAUUGAUGAGUUUGGUUUUAUUAUAUAUUUAACCCUUUUUUAUAUUUAUGGUUUCGGCUUUUUUAAAGAGUGCAGUUACAAUUAAAAGGUUGUUUUAGAGGCUCACAAUUGUAACUCUUUUUAUUCGUUUUGAUUAGUGGAUUGUUGAAUGUUGGUAUAAUCCAUGGACAUAGAAAUCACAUUGAUCGUCAAAACACUUUAAAAAUCUUAUAUUUUUCUUUAUUUUAUAUUUGUUUGUGUGCAUGAUUCGGUUAACAAAAACACCAUCAUUAUGCUUUUAUUUUUAUAAGAUUUUUUUUUUUUAAUUUUCAAACUAUCACCGCAAGCUUUCCUUCAAGUGUUACACUAAUCAUACUUUAUAUUUAAUAAAAUUAACAAUACAAUAUGAGUAUGAUUAUUUUUUGUCAUUUUCUUUUACAUUUUUUAUAGCAUUCAUUUGAUACGACACAUUCUCCAUUGAUUUAUUAUGAUGCUUGUGAUUCAAUAUUUAAAUUUACGUCUAAUAUUAAUAAUACUUAAUAGUGUUAAAUAUUAGUUUGUUUGUUUUUUUUAGUAUUUUAUUUAUAUUAGGCAUUAAAAAAGUAAAGAAAAAUCAACAUAUUACUUUUUUUUAUUUAGAAAAAGUUAAAUAUUUUGAUUUUUUCUAUUUGAUAAAAAAUUUAUAAUAAGUCAUAAAAAAGUAAAAAAAUAAAAUAAAUAAACAACCUAAAGUCUAAAAACAAAUUAAUUUUAACAAAAAGUUUAAAAAAAAAAACAAACAUCCACUAACUUUCUUAUUAUUGGAUUUUAUUUUUAGAACAUUAUCCUUAUGUCUUUCUCUUUCUAACAAAUAUCACUCAAAGGAUAUUAUUUUAUUUUCUCCUUCAAAAUGAAAUAUGCAAGCGAAUACUUUAGAUUAUAAUACAAGCAACAAUACAACUUUAGCAUAAUUAUUUCUUAUCAUUUUCUUCACAACACCUAUUCAAGAUAUAAAAUGAGGCUUAUGAUAUAAGGUUUAGAUUUGAACUCCAUUAUUGAUAUAAAGUUGGGUGAUUGACUAACUUUCUUGAAACAUCAUCAUGGUAUUCAUUUGUUAUUUUAUUUUCAAAACAUUAUCACCCUAUGUACCUUUUUCUUAAAAGAUAAUUGUUGCAAGUACAAUUAUUGCUUGAAUUUGAUUUUAUUUUCUUCUUAUAUAGCUAUUUCUCAUCAUUUUCUUUUGAAUUUUUGUAAUUUUCAUUUAAAUAUGAAGAUAUGGAUAUGGUCAUAAUUUUACUUCAAUUAUUUGUAUUUCAACAUUCAUUUUAACUUGAUCUUUAACGAUUUGUAUCUAACCGUAUAAAUCUUGUUUAUUCUAGACCUAAAAGGAUUCUCAUACCUCUAAAAUAUAUCAACAUGAUUAAAAAUAGUUCAUACUUAUAUGAAUCAAGACCUUUCUUCCCUAUUCGACGUAGGAUAUCACACAUAAUCAAUCAUAUUUCAACAAUUUUCAUAAUAAAUAAAAUCAUUAAUUAAUUUUAAAACACAACUCAAAUAUAAAUUAUUUUUAUGAUUAACACUUCACUACUUCAUUUCAUUAGCACCAAUUAAUUCUUCUUAUUUAAUUUUUUUUUUCUCUUACUUUUUUCUUUUUAAUUCUUUAUAGUCAACACCUUUCUCUCUAGUGCUUCUUAUUUUUGUCGUUGCACAUUGUUCGAGCAAAACUUAGUGUUUUUAUGAAGUGUUCUCCUCUUAUGACCUUUGAGUAUUUGUUAAUCAACACAUGGUGUUGACCCUAUUAUGAAUUUGUUUUUUUAAUUAGUUUUUAAAAUUUUUUAUUUUAAAUUAUUGAUUGUCUUUCAAAAUAUUAUAAUAGAAACUUAAGGAGUGGUAUCAACACUAAUUGUUUAUCACAAGUAAAACACACAUGGUUAGUGUGUUUAAUAUUUAUUAUUAUUAUUUUUUAAUUAAAAUUAUUUUUUGAAUUAUUUUUAAAGCAAAAAAAAGUUAUACAAGUAUGCAUCUUGAGAAAUAAAUUCAAAAAUUAAACUUAAUACCAAAUUAUCUUGAUAUACUCAUAAAAAUUCACUUGAAACUUUAAUUUUAUAAAGUCGUAGUAACAUUUAUCCUAAUUGUUGGUCCUACAAAGGUAAAUUCAAGGGAUAUUAGUUUAGUCUUCUUCCUUACAUCACUUAAAUAUUUGAAGGCUUAAAUGUUAAGACCUUUGAUUUAUUAUUACAAGACAUUGUUGCUAAUCCUAGUUUGAGCCUUAUUGAAAUAAAUUUUUUAAAUAACACAUGUUACAUAAAUAAUUUUAACUUAAAAAUAAAAUAUUAUAAUUUAAAUUAAUAUUAAACUCAAUAUUAAAACUAAAUUUAAAUUAUCUCGAUAUAUUCUUAUAAACCCAUUUGAAACUUUAAUUUUAGAAAAUCACAAUAAUAAGGUGAGAUAUUUAUCCCAAUUGUCAAUCUCACGUCAACAUGAGCUUUUCUAUCCGACAUGACUUAAACAUUAAAAGACUUAAAUGUCUAGACCUAUGAUUUAUUAUCAAAGGACAUUGCUACUUGGGAAGAAGAUUGAAAUGAAAGUUUUAAAUAGCACAUGCUACAAGAAUAACUAUAUUUUUUCUAAAAAAAAAUUCAACUAUGAUGAUUAUUAGAAGGGAAAAAGAAAUUUAAGAUAGUAGCUAGGUAUUGAUUGACCAUAUGAAUUGAAUAUGAUAAAAUAUGAUGUCAUUAUUUUUGUCACUAUACCUAAAAGGAAAAAAAAAUGUAAGAGUAUUUUUUAUAAUAUUUUUUAAAUCAAUUCACAAAAAUUACUUGUUGAAAAACAAUUCUCAAUUGUUCUUAAGAACAAAAUUAUGGUUAUUCGGUAAUACAAAAUUAUUCAUAUUGUUAGUUGUUUCUUAUAAUACUCUAAAAACCAAAAAACAAAAAAAAAAAACCUCAAAUUUAUUUUAAAACUCAAAGACAAGUUAGUUUUCAUUACUUCCAAAAUAAAUUAGACUUAAAAGUCUAAAUUAACUUAUAUCCAACUGAUUAUCUAAAUAAAAUAAUAUCGAUCUUAAAUAAGGUUGGUUUGAUUCUAUUUAUUCAUCAUUAAAAAGUUUAUUAAAUUUUAACUUAAUUAUAAAUUAAUUAUUUCAAUUAGGCCGAUUUUCCUUAAAAAUCAAAAUGAAAUUAUAUCUUUUUCACUCAUAUUAUUAAUUUAAUAAAAAUUAAUUAAUUUUUUAACAUUGGUAAUUUUAAUUAUAACAUUUGGGAAAUGUUAAAAUGACUGAAAUACAAAUUUAGUUUUUUAAAUAUGUAUGGUAAAGUUUAGAUCAUUGAAAUAGGUAUAAGCAAAUAAUAUUAAGAUGCAAAAUAUGCAAAAUUACAAAUAAAUAGGAGUAUGAUACAAAUAAUAAGACUUGAAAAUCUAGAUGUGGCUCCACCUAAUUGAUGGUAUUUUUUUAGUAAACCAUGAACGUGCAUGAUUCUAACAUUUAUGUUCUGUCACAUACUUGGGUUUUUCUUAAGCUUACGCAAUAGGUGGCUUUGAAACGAGUCAAGGUCAAACUAUUAAUAGGGUCUGUUAUUUUUUUUUUCUUUACCUCACGUGCAUCAUUGACAAAUAUGACUAAGGAAUGAGAUCUCGUGAAAAGUCAAAAGUCAAACGCAAACUUUGAUUUGUUUUGAACCAUAACACUUUUCUUAAUUAGACCUUUUGUGACAUAGAUGGGAUGUAGAGGAAAGAAAAACCUAGCUGAUCAAUUUGGAUCGUUACCUUCUUUCAAACUAUUGCUAGGUGGGAUGAGAAGAAAGUGAAUUCAAAAUGGGUUUCUAUUUUUCCAUAUAAAAUUUUAAAAAAAAAAUUAAAAAAUGUCUUAUGUUGUUACUAAGAAAAAACUCAAAAAUGAGAUAAUUUAAAAUCUCAAUCUUGAAAUAGGUACAAGCAAAUAAUAUUAAGAUGCAAAAUAUGCAAAAUUACAAAUAAAUAGGAGUAUGAUACAAAUAUGAGACUUGAAAAUCUAGAUGUGGCUCCACCUAAUUGAUGGUAUUUUUUUAGUAAACCAUGAACGUGCAUGAUUCUAACAUUUAUGUUCUGUCACAUACUUGGGUUUUUCUUAAGCUUACGCAAUAGGUGGCUUUGAAACGAGUUGAGGUCAAACUAUUAAUAGGGUCUGUUAUUUUUUUUUUCUUUACCUCACGUGCAUCAUUGAUAAAUGUGACUAAGGAAUGAGAUCUUGUGAAAAGUCAAAAGUCAAAGGCAAACUUUGAUUUGCUUUGAACCAUAAUACUUUUCUUAAUUAGACCUUUUGUGACAUAGAUGGGAUGUAGAGGAAAGAAAAACCUAGCUGAUCAAUUUGGAUCGUUACCUUCUUUUCAAACUAUUGCUAGGUGGGAUGAGAAGAAAGUGAAUUCAAAAUGGGUUUCUAUUUUUCCAUAUAAAAUUUUUAAAAAAAUUAAAAAAUGUCUUAUGUUGUUACUAAGAAAAAACUCAAAAAUGAGAUAAUUUAAAAUCCCAAUCUUGAAAUAGGUACAAACAAAUAAUAUUAAGAUGCAAAAUAUGCAAAAUUACAAAUAAAUAAGAGUAUGAUACAAAUAAUGAGACUUGAAAAUCUAUAUUUGGCUCCACCUAAUUGAUGGUAUUUUUUUAGUAAACCAUGAACGUGCAUGAUUCUAACAUUUAUGUUUUAUUACGUACUUAGGUUUUUCUUAAGCUUACAUAAUGGGUGGCUUUUAAACGAGUCAAGGUCAAGCUAUUAAUAGGAUCUGUUAUUUUUUUUCUUUACCUCAUGUGUAUCAUUGACAAAUGUGACUAAGGAAUGGAUCUCACGAAAAGUCAAAAGUCAAACAUAAACUUUGAAAACUAAUCCAAAGAUAAGUGAAAGGUCAAUGACCAAAUAUCUUUAUUUUAAAAAUGAUAAAAAUAAGCAGAAAUUGAACUCAUAUUGUUAGUGUUGGUGACAUUGCUAAAAGCUAACAAAAGUGGGCCACUAGGGCCCAUAGAUCAACACAAUACCUCAAUUGGGCCUUUGAUGAUCAUAUGGAUGAUGAGCCCAAAAGAUGAAGGGCUAUUGGGCUUGGAGUUAUGGUCAGGCUUAGUACAGGGGCCUAAAAAGGUUCAGGCCAACAGCCACCCUCAAUUUAGGUUUUUGGUAGACUUGAGUAUGUAAUAAACACUCCAUCAAUAUCUUUUUCCUUAACUAAUAAGAAAGAGCCCAAUUUAAGAAUAAAAAAAUGUUCGAUGGAAAAUCAAAACUUUCUAUCACCUUUAAAGAUUAAAUUAACUAAAUAUCACAAAGUAAAAAAGCUUAGACUAUGUUUGGUUUUCAAAAAAUUUGAGAGAAAAUGCACAAAAAAAUAAAAAAUAAAAAAAUAAAUUUAAAUUAAAUGAGUUAUUUUUACAUCAUACUUCAAACUUAUUUUACUUAUUUUAAAUAUUUAUAUAAAAAAUAAAUAAUUUAAAAAUAGAUAAGUUUUUAAUUUUAAUUAUAUUUGAUUUUUUCUCAUAUUUUCCAAUGUAAAACCAAACAUGUAAAAAUUAUUUCUCUAAACAUUUUUUUUUACUUUUCAAGAGCCAAACAAACCCUUAAGUAUUUAAUCAUUGCCAUGGAUAGAUGAUUUACUUUAAGCUUUCUUUGAUGUCCAAUUGUCAAUCAAUAAUGAUUAAUUGGUAAUAUAUUAAUAUAACUUUUACCAUCAAACAAGUAAAAUAAUUCUAUCAUCAAUAUUUUUUAAGAUUCCUUGACAAUGGAUUUUCUCUCCAUCCAAACAUAUGCCAAGAAGUUUCAAUUUUAAUUCUAUUAUUUCCCUUUCCUUGUAAGAAUUAGAAGGCUUAAACCCUAAAAUUGAUGCUCAAUUCAUGAUGACAAAGAUUUGAGUCAUCCUCUUUCCUUUUAAAACCCUAACUUGAAAUUUGCUCCAACUUUGGACACUCUACCAAUCACUACAAGCCAAAAAAGAAAACAGUAGUUUUCACCCAAGAAAAUCUUCAAUCACAAGCAUUAAAUGGUAAAAUGACAAUUUAACCCUUCUCUGAUGGUUGUCUUCCCACCCAUAAAAUUUAUUUUCUCAUCCACCAAUCUUUUUUUCUUUAAUUUUAAAAUUAUCAUUAUGUAAAUAGAUCAAAACACUCCCUUUGUUUUUUGCACACGGUUUAUUUACCAAUAUAUUCAAAAACAUUUAAAAAUAAUAAUUUUUAAAAAAUAGUUCUUAAAAAGAAUUUUUAAUUAAUUUCAGGAAUAAAUUCCUAUUUGACAGUUCAAAUAUAUAGAUUAUAAAAAAAAUUAUAUUUUUAAUUAAUCAUUAACAUUAUGUAAAAAUACUUCAAAAUACCUUAAUUUAAAAAAUAUAUAUUAUCAGAACAAAUUUGAAUAAAAGCAUUUUUUUUGUAAAUAUAUAUAUAUAUAUAUAUGUAUAUAUAUAUAUCAAAUAUGGUCUCUAAAUCACUAAAAACACUAUCCGUUUUUUCUUUCAUUAUUUCAUCAUCCCUAAAUAAUUUUAUUUUUUUUAUAAAAAAAAGCAUAUAUUUUUAAAGCAAAAAUUUGAAAACAAAAUGGUGUGGAGAGGUAUUUCAAUUGAAGCUUAAAAGAAAUGGAAUCUUCAUAAUGAAAUAGAAGCUUGAAAAUGACGUAAUUUUUGUGUCAUAGGAGAUGAAAAAGAUGGCCCUGGAUGUAAUUUCCCUUUCUGUGUAUGAUGAAGGCUUUUGGGCCCACCACUUUAAACUCUAUGGCCCACUGCCUCACCGUCCAGAAAAGUUAGGCCCAACUACUCUACCCUUGUCUUUCUUCAAGAACCCACGCCAUUCCAAGUGGCUUGUAAAUUACCCAAAACAACCGAGGGCCUCAGGCACAAAACCCCAUGAAAUGGGUGGGUAUUUAGGUCAUUUUUACUCAAAAGAUUCUCCAUUGUGAUGUUUCUUGUAAAGUUGGUAGCUAUAAUGACUUGAAAUUAAAAAAUAAAUGCUGGGCCUUAUUGUAUAGGAUAUGACCACUCGAUUUAUAUAUAGAGUCCAAUUUUAUGUUGAAAGAGGGUACAUUGUCACCAUGGCUAGAGUUUUCUUCAUUUUGCCUUUCUAUCUUAGCUUCUUCAUCUUUCUUAUCUUCUCUUAUGCCGCAAUUCCAAUUCUUGGGGAUGAAUACAGCUAUGUCAAGCAGGUUGAUCCUAAGAAAAUGGGGAUGAGGAAGGAAAAGCUAAGUCAUUUUCGAUUUUAUUGGCACGAUAUUGUGAGUGGUCCUAAUCCAAGCUCAAUUCAAGUAGUUUCACCUCCUACAAACUCAACAACUGCAUUUGGUUUGAUAAAUAUGAUUGAUAAUCCUUUAACUGUUGGGCCUAAAUUAAGCUCAAAAAUGGUUGGAAAGGCUCAAGGACUUUACACGUCUGCAUCGCAAGAAGAAAUUGGAUUGUUGAUGAUUAUGAACUUUGCAUUCAUUGAUGACAAGUAUAAUGGUAGCACAUUUACUGUAUUGGGUCGGAACACAGUACUUUCUAAGGUGAGAGAGAUGUCAGUGAUCGGCGGUAGUGGACUUUUCCGAUUUGCUAAAGGCUAUGUUCAAGUAAAAACUUACACAUUCAAUAGCACCACAAAAGAUGCCACGAUUGAGUAUAAUGCUUAUGUUUUGCAUUAUUAAACCUUUUUUUUUUCUAAGAUUUUUUUGUAUUGUGUUGUGGCCCACUAUUAUGACAAUUUAAAUCAUUAUGUUCCCACCAUAUGCUAAGUGGGGUCCUUUGAUGUUGCUUAAUUUAAUUAAAUCACGUAUUUGAGUAGAAAAAUUAUUUUCUCAAAAUAUUUUGAAAUAAAUUAUAUUUUGAAUAUCAGUACAAAAGUUUACUUUUUCCGUACCUACCAAAAAACACCACUAAUUAAGUGGUAUCUUAUGCACAUUUUCAAGUCUUAUUAUUCAUACUCAAGUUCCAUUUGCCUUUACCCUUGUACCUUAGUCUCAUUCAUUCGUAGGCUUCAAUUUCACGACCAUAUAUAUUCAAUAGUUUAGAUUUUUUGUUUUAUAGGUACCAUAGUGGUGGUACCUAAGCAUUUUCCUUUGAAUAUAAAUGGUUUGAGGAUAAAGAGAUUUAAGGUAUUAUAUCUUAAUUUUUGGAAUAAUUAAUGUUUAAAAAAUUAAAGAUUUAAGUUAUCGUAUCUUAGUUUUUUUUAAUUAUUGAUGUUCAAAAAUUAAUCUGCACUAUUAAAACUUAAUCAAAAAAUAAAUUAUCAAACAUUCAAAAAUUGAUAAUUUAAAUUUUGUUUUAGAUAAUCUAAAAUGUAAAAGGUUUCACCAAACAACUUCUUUGAUGAGAUAUUUAAUUUUUCAUUUAACAAUAAUCCUCAUGUCCAAGCAAAGAUCUCAAAUGAACUUCUCUUGAGAAAGUAACACACCCCCUAAAAUACAGGUCUACACUAAAGCACAGUAAAACACACUAAACAAGAAGUCAUAUGAGUAUAAAUGACUUUAUUACUCACACCAUUGACACUAAGACUAAAGAUAAAACGAUAUAUUGAAGCUACCAAAACCAAAAGAAAUAGGGUUUUUUAGUUGUUUAUUUACUUUUUUACUUUCUCGUAUUUCAAAAAUAUUAUUAUCAAAUUGUGAAAUAUGUUUUAAAAUGUUAAAAUUUUGUUUAAAAAUUAAAAUAAAAGAUGUUUUAAAAUGUUAAAAUUUUGUUUAAAAAUUAAAAUAAAAGAUAGGUCUUGUUUGGACACACUUUUUGUUAGUUGCUUUUUAAAAACAAAAAUAAUAAUAAUAAUAAUUUUUAUAUGAAAAGAAUAAACCUUUUUAGACUAAUUUUAUAUCUUUUAAAAUUACUUUAAAUUUUUUUUUAAAUAUGAGGUGGUAAAUAUUGUUAAUAUCUUAACUCUUUAUUUUUUAACCAUUUUUAGAAAUUAUUAUAUAUUCAAUGUAAACGUAUAAAAGUUCUUGCAUUUUAUAUUGAAGUUAUUACUGUUAAAAACGAAAUAAUAGAAAAUGUAUCCAAAUCGACACUAGUACAUAGAAACAACAUAAUUUCAUCCUAAUAGCAACUACUUUCAUAUUUAAAUACAAAUUAAACAUUAUACCAAAUACAAUUUUUACUACAUAUGAAAUCCUUCAAAUCUUCUAACUUAAAAAUUUACUAUUAAUAGCACACUCAUACUAAGAUGUGGAAAAAUAAGCUUUACGGUAAAUGAAAUUUGGGUUUGGUAAACUCAAAUAUAUAAUAAAUAGGUGAUCGAGAAAAGAAAUAAGUAAGAGUUCAAUUCAAGUAUAUUCCCCUUAAACUAAUAAGUAAGAGUCUAAUUUAAGCAUGGAACAUUCUUGAUUAUAAAACGUCAAUCAAAAAUCAAAACUUUCUACCACCUUUGAAGAUUAAAUUAACCAAAUAUCAAAAAUAAAAAUAAAAAGCUUAUGGAUUCAUCACUGCCCUUGGUUGGUGAUUUACUUUUUGGCUUUCUUUAAUCCGUAGGCAUUCAUUAAUUAGCAAUAUAUUAAUAUGACUUUUUCAUUAAACAAGUAGAAUAAUUCCAUUAUCAAUAUCUUUUAAGAUUUCCACCAACUAUAAGUAAAUUAAUAUCUUUACUUUUCCCUCCUAUGACAAUGGGUUUUCUCCCAAUCCAAACACAUGCCAAGAAGUUCCAAUUUAAAAUAUAUUAAACAAUGUUUUUUUCCCUAAGAAUUAGGAAACCUUAAACCCAAAAAGAAUGAGUAUGAACCCUCAACUUACAUUUGAAUCAACUAUAAGUAAAUUAAUAUCUUUACUUGUCCUCCCUAUGACAAUGGAUUUUCUCUCCAUCCAAACACAUGCCAAGAAGUCUCAAUUUAAACCUAUUAAACAAUGUUUCUUUUCCCUUUCCUUGUAAGAAUUAGGAAACCUUAAACCCUAGAAGGGUUGCUCAAUUCAUAGUGACAACGAUUGAGUCAUCCUCUUUCUUUUUAAAUCCUCACUUGGCAUUUGCUUCAAUUGGAUGCCCUGCCAAUCACUAUAAGCCAAAAAGGAAAAUGGCAGGUUUCACUCAAAAAUUCUUCACUCACAAGCAUUAAACACUAGGAUGACAAUUGAACAUUUCUCAGCUUUUUGUCUGAAGGUUGUAUUCCCACUCAAAAAAUUCAUUUUCUUAUCCAUUAAACUUUAAAAAAAAAAAAAAUGCCAUUGUGUAAAUAGAUGAAAAUACUCCCUUUAUUCUUUCCACCCAAAUGAAGGGUUUAUUUGACAAUAUAUUCAAAUAUAAUUUUUAAAAUAAUUUUCAAUUGCUUUAGGAAUAAAUUCCUACUUAGGAAUUUAUAUAUAGAAAUUGUACAAAAUAAUUUUUAUAUUUUCAAUUAUUUCUUAAAAUAUUAUAAAAACAAUACCUUAAAAUAUGUUCUAAAAAACCAUUUUCAAAACAAGGUUUUAAAAAAUUAUUUUAAAUAAAUGGAAUAUUGGUAAUGAAAUAAAAGCUUCAAAUGAAAAGUUUAAGGGUGAAGGGUUCAAAUGAGAGAGAAAGUGUACUUAUUUCUGGUGAAUUUUGGGUUGGGUGGGUGAGAAAAUAAAAUUUUGGAUUUAGCGGAAAUGGAAAAGAUGGGGCUGGAUGUAAUUUCCCUUUCUAGGCGUGAUGUAGGCUUUUGGGCCCACCACUUUAAACACUAUGGCCCACUCCCGUACUGUCUAGAAAGGUUAGGCCCAACCACCCUUUCCAGGUAUUCCUUCCCAGUGACUUGCAAAUUACCCAAAACAACCAAGGGCCUAAGGCGCAAACCCCAUGAAAUGGAUGGGCAUUUUAGUCAUUUUGAAUAAAAAGCAUCCCUGUGCUGUGCCUUGUGAAGAUGGUAACUAUCAUGACUUGAAUUUUUUAAAAAAAAAUGGUGGGCCUUAUUGUAAAGGAUAUGAACCACUCACUUUAUAUAUAGUCCAAUUGUUGUUCUCAAAGAGAGUGCAUUGUGGCCAUGGCUAGGGCUCUCUCCAUUUCAUCUUCCAACCUUUUCUUCUCCUUCAUCUUUCUCAUAUUCUCUCAUGCCACAAUCCCAAUUCUCGGGGAAGAAUAUAGCUAUGUCAAGCGAGUCGAUCCCAAGAAAAUAGGGAUGAGGAAGGAAAAGCUAAGUCAUUUUCGAUUUUACUGGCAUGAUAAUGUUAGCGGCCGUAAUCCGACCUCUAUUCAAGUAGUUGCACCACCUACCAACUCAACGACUGCGUUUGGUUUGGUAAAUAUGAUCGAUAAUCCAUUAACCAUUGAGCCUAAAUUGAGCUCAAAAAUGGUUGGAAAGGCUCAAGGGCUUUAUACCUCUGCAUCGCAAGAAGAAAUUGGACUACUAAUGAUUAUGAACUUUGCAUUCUUUGAUGGUAAGUAUAAUGGUAGCACAUUCACUGUAUUAGGACGGAAUACGGUAUUUUCUAAAGUGAGGGAGAUGUCAGUGAUCAGUGGCAGUGGACUUUUCCGAUUUGCUAGAGGUUAUGUUGAACUUAAAACUUAUUCGGUAAAUUUAACCACAAGAGAUGCUAUAGUUGAGUAUAAUGCUUAUGUUUUGCAUUAUUAAACUUCUUUCCAUUUUUUCCAAGCUUUUGUUGAGCUUUGGCUGCUAUUGUGACAACUUGAAUCAUUAUGUUCCCACCAUGUGCUAAGUGGGGCCCUUUGAUGUUUGAUUUAAUUAAAUUAUGUGUUUGAGUAGUAUAAUUGUUUUCUCAAAAUAUUUUUUAAUAAAUUUUGUUUUGAAUAAAAGUGGUUCGAGGAGAAAGAUUAAGGUAUUCUAUCUCAAUUUUUUGAAUCACUAAUGUUUAAAAUUAAUAUUGACUAUUAAAAUUCAAUCAUAAAAUUCAUUAUCACACAUUCCAAAUUUGAUAGUUAAAAUUUUGGUUCAAAAAAUCUAAAAUGCAAAAGGUUUAGCAGUGAUAAUUCUGAUCAAUUUUGUAGUUUAUUUUUUUAAAUUGAUAAGAAAAUUUGGUUGAUUAUAAUCUCCAGGCAACUUUAGUAUUCAUUUUGGAUUGAUAAAUGUUAGUCCAUGAUUCAUCCUUUAAUUUAAUGAGCUUGAAGAUACUAGGCCUUGACCUAGUAUAGUGCCCUAAACUAAAAGGGUGACAAUUCGUAUUGUUGGGUCAUAAUCCAAUCGAGAAAGGCUAUAUGUAUAUAUUCAAUAAAGUCUCUCCUAAAUCUUGAACUUCAUGCACGGAGGUAUAAAUUUUUUAUUUUUUCUAUUUUUAAAUAUGAAAUUAUAGGUGCUAGAUGUGGUUUAUUCACUAAAACCAUUAUAUAAUUUAUGACAUUGGUUUAUUUUAAUUUUGUAUAUAGACUAUAAGGACCCAUUUAGCCUUAUUUUUUAAACUUGUUUUUAAAAACUAGUGAAAAUAAUUUAUACUUGUUCUUUAAAAAUUGUUCUCUAUUUUGCUUUAUUUUUAAAAAUUGUUUCUAAAGAAUAACAAUCAAACAAUUUUAAAAAAUUUUAAAAACAGUUCUCCAUUUUAAAAAAUAAAAAAACUGUUUUUAAAUCAUAUGGCCAAAUAAGCUCUAAAAGCCUUCAACCCUUAAUAUCUUUUAACUUAAAAAUCUCACCAUUAGAUAAUAUUCUCAUUUUAGAAGAUACAAAUCACAUGUUAGAAAUAAACUAGAAUCAUAUUAUUAUUUAUUGUAAUGAGAUACACUUUAUAUCUUAUUUGAUGAAGCUUAAGAAAUCAUAUACAAAUUAUUAAUUAAUUAAUUAAUUAAUAUUUUGUUAGUGUAACCUUAUCAUUAUACAAAUAAAAUAUUUUUAUUAUUUUCAUUUUCAAAAUUUAAAAAUUAAAGAAAUCAAAAGAAAAUUUCUUAAUUUUUCAACUAAUAAAAUUCCUUUUAUCAAAAAGAGAACAUCAACAAAUUGUGAAGUUACAUAUUUUUAUUUAUUUUAAUAGUCGAUAUUUUUUUAAGAUGUAUCAAUUAUUAUGUACAUUAAAAUGCAUUUAAAGGUGAUUUUAUUUGAAAUAUUUUUAAUAAAAGUAUUUUAAAAAAAAUAUUUUUAGAAAAAUUAGUUAUCAAUUAUGAAACAUUAUAAAUAAUUUUUUAGUUUUUAAAAUAUUUUCUAAAAUUUUUAAAUGUGGAAAUUUUUUUAAGUUAAAAAUAUUUUCUAAAAUGACUAUGAAAUGGAAUCUUAAUAUUCUUACUAGUUCCUCCAAAAUAAUGGAGUGUCUUUUUCCCACGUAAAACCUAGAAAACUCUGAACCCAAAAUUUGAUGCUCAGAACGACGUGGGCAAGGGGGAAGAAUGAAAGUCAAGUCAUUUUCUUUAUUUUUAAAAUCCUCAUUUCAAUUGGGUGGGUGUCAUACCUGGAAAUUGCACCACACCUACCUUCACUAAUGAUAAAAGCACAAUUUUGGGCCCACCACAACAAACAUUAGGGCCCACUUUGAUGGGGGCAGGCCUUAUUUUCUAGAAAAAGUUAGCCCAACCACUCCAUUGUCUGUCCAUGAUUUCCCACGUCCCAUUAAAAAAAAGGCGUGCUAUUCCAGGUCAAUAAGACUUGCAAAUUACCCAAAACCACCAAGGGCCCAAGGCACCGAACCCCAUAAGAUGGAGGGGCAUUUUGGUCAUCUCGAAAUAUAUAUAUACCGCCUAGGUUUUGUGAACAAAUGGGAUGCAUUGUGGCCGGCAAAGGGUGUGCAUUGUGGUCAUGGCUAGAGCUCUCCUCAUCUCACCUUCCUUCUUCAUCUUCUUCAUCUUUCUCAUUUUCUCUUCUGCCAAGAUCCCAGUUUUCGGAGAAGAAUAUAGCUAUGUCAAGCGUCUCAAUCCUAAGAAAAUGAAGAUGUUGAAGGAAAAGUUAAGUCAUUUUCGACUUUAUUGGCAUGAUAUUCUUAGUGGGUCUAAUCCAACCUCAAUUCCAGUAGUUAAACCGGUGAAUAACUCAUCAACAUUCUUUGGUUCAAUAAAUAUGAUCGAUAAUCCAUUAACCAUUGAGCCAAAAUUAAACUCAAAAAUGGUUGGAAAGGCCCAAGGGUUUUAUGCGUCUGCGGGACAAGAAAAUUUUGGAUUGUUGAUGGUUAUGAAUUUUGCAUUCAACGAUGACAAGUAUAAUGGUAGCACAUUUACUGUGAUAGGACGAAAUGAUGUUUUUUCUAAGGUGAGGGAAAUGGAGAUAGUUGGUGGCAGUGGGCUUUUCCGAUUUGCUACAGGUUAUGUUCAAGCAAAAACUUACAUGUUCGGUACCAAUGGAGAUGCCAUUGUCGAAUACAAUGCCUAUGUUUUACAUUAUUGAUAUUUUUCCUUUUUUUAACUUUUCAGUCGAGCUUUGUUCCACAGUGAUAGACUUGAAUUGUUGUGUGUUCCCACUGUAGCUAAGUGGGGUUCUCUAGUUUUGCUUAAUUUAAUUAAAUUAAGUUACUCUUACUUUACCUAAUUUAUUGUAAGCAUGCAAUAAUAAAAUAAAAUUUAAGUAUCACGUAUAGUUUGAUUUAGAAUUUAUUUGUUUAUUUAAAUUUUUUAGAGAAGUUACAAAAAUAGAAAAAAAAAAACACAUGUAAUUCAAAGAAAAUCAUAUUUGAAAAUUCUCGAUGAUAGUGAUAGAUCGUGUAGAGAGAAGAAAAAUAAGACCAUAUUCAAUUUUAUUUGUUUCUUAUGAUUUUCUUAAUUUUCUUAUGUUCCUCUAUUGUUUAAAAAACUAGUGAAAAUGAUUCUUUAUUUCACUUUGUUUUUUUAAAAAUGAAAAUAGAGAACAACAACUGAAUAAGGUUAUGAAUUUUUUAAAAACAAAUAUUUGUUUUUAAAAUAGAAAACUAUUUUUUAAAUCACAUGGUCAAACAUGUUAUAAUAGUUUAAAAUUUUGUUUUAAAAAAAUGGAAGUAUAUAUAUGAAAAAAAAAAAAUUACAGCUUGAAAGUGAUUUUUAAAGAUUAAGUACAGCAAAACAACAUUUUAUAUGGAAUUUAUUAGUAUUUUUAUUUUUAAAAUAAAAAAAUAGAAAUUCAAAUUUUUGUUUUUAAAAGUUUUAAAAUAGAAAACAAAAUUAUACCCAAAUAACACCUUUUAAGUUUGUAAUUUACUAAAAGUUCAUCAGUCAAGAUUCCUAAAACUCUAUUACGUCAUAGUCCCACACAACUCAAGAAAGGUUAUAUCCAUAUAUUCAAGAUGACCUCCUAAAUCUUGAUCUAUAUGCAUGGAGGUAUAAAUUUUUUAUAAAUAAUUUUUUAUUUUUAAAAACAAAAACCUAUUUUUAAAUCACACAAUCAAACAGAUUGGAAGCCUUCAAUCCUUAAUAUCUUUUAACUUAAAAUCUUACCAUUAGAUAACAUUGCUUUAGAAUUUAUAAAUCAUGUAUUAUAAGUAAACUAAAAUCAUAUUAUUGUUGAUAGUAAUGAGAUACACUUUAUAUCUUAUUUGAUAAAGGUUAAGAAACCAUAUACAAAUUAUUAAUUAAUUAAUAAUUUAUUAAUGUAACCUUAUCAUUAUACAAAUAAAAUAUUUCUAUUAUUUCCAUUUUCAAAAUUUAAAACUCAAAGAAGUCAAAAGAAAAUUUCUUAAUUUUUCAACUAAUAAAAUCCCUUUUAUAAAAAAAAGAAAAAAAGAAAAAGAAAGUCAACAAAUCUUGAAAUUUCAAAAUUUUAAGAUAUUAAUGUACCAGUUAUUAAGUAGAUCGAGUAUAUUUAGUAGUGAUUCUAUUUGAAGUACUUUAGUAAAAGUGUUUUUUCUAAAAAUGUUUUUAGAAGAAUCGUCCAUUAAUUUCUUUUUUAAGAAACAUUAUAAAUAAUUUGUCAAUUUUUUAAAAAUAUUUUCUAAUUUUAAAUGCCAAAAUAUUUUAAAAUAUAGGGAAAAAUAUAUUUCCAUAUACCUAUAUGAAAAAAACCACAAAAUAAAAAUUUAAGUUUAUAAAAUAUAAAUUUCAAGCACUUAUAUAAAAAUAAUUAGUAUUUCACAUAUUUUCUUUAUCAAAUAUAUUACAUUUGAUCACGUAGAAUAUACCUUUUAAUGAUAUGAGUGUAUUAAAUUUGAAUUAUUUUUAUUUUGUUUUUAUUUUAUAAUUAUUUUUAUAUUAGCUUGUGAAAACCUUUUUUUUUUGUAAGUUAGAAGGAGUUUCUCUCCAUCGAAACACGCAGUGUCUUUUUCCCUUUUCUUGUAAACCCUAGAAAACUCUAAACCCUAAAUUCGGUGCUCAGAAAGACUUGGGCAUGGAAGAAGAGAAUGAAAGUAAAGUCAAUUCCUUUAUUUUUAAAUCCUCAGUUCACUUUUGCUUCCAUUGGGUGGGUGGGUGGGAUACCUGGAAAUUGUAUCAGACCUACCGUCACUCACAAGUCUGAAUUAAAAUGACAAUUUUAUCCAAUAGAAUGGGUUUUGGGGCGACUUUGAUUGCGGGAGGCCUCAUUUUCUAGAAAAGGUUGGCCCAACCACACCAUCCUCUUUCCAUGUUUUUUCUCAACAAACGCGUGCCCAAGUCAAUAAGACUUGCAAAUCACCCAAAACCACCAUAUGCCCAAGGCACCAAACCCCAUAAGAUGGAGGGGCAUUUUUGUCAUUCUCGUUAGAAAUAUUCCCGUUGUGAUGGGUCGGUGCGAUUGGCAAUUAUAACAUCUUUGAAUUUGGAAAAGUGGGCUUUAAUUGUGUGGAAAAUGAACAAUUCAAUAAUUUAUAUAUAUAUCCUAGGUUUUGUGAGCAAAGGGUGUGCAUUGUGGCCAUGGCUAGAGCUCUCCUCAUCUCACCUCCCUACUUCAUCUUCCUUAUCUUUCUCAUUUUCUCUUAUGCCACAAUCCCAACUUUUGGAGAAGAAUAUAGCUAUGUCAAGCGUGUCAAUCCUAAGAAAAUGAAGAUAUUGAAGGAAAAGUUAAGUCAUUUUCGACUUUACUGGCACGACAUUGUUAGCGGGUCUAAUCCAACCUCAAUUCAAGUGGUUAAACCAGUGAAUAACUCGUCAACAUUCUUUGGUUCAAUAAAUAUGAUUGAUAAUCCGUUAACCAUUGGACCAAAGUUGAGCUCAAAACUGGUUGGAAAGGCUCAAGGGUUUUAUUCAUCUGCAGGACAAGAAGAAUUUGGAUUAUUGAUGGUUAUGAAUUUUGUAUUCAUCGAUGGCAAGUAUAAUGGUAGCACAUUCACUGUGUUAGGACGAAACAAAGUUCUUUCUAAGGUGAGAGAGAUGGAGGUGAUCGGUGGCAGUGGAAUUUUUCGAUUUGCUAAAGGUUAUGUUCAAGCAAAAACUUACAUGUUCAAUUCCACGGGGGACGCUACUGUUGAGUAUAAUGCCUAUGUCAAACAUUAUUGAUUUUUUUUUCUUUUUUUAGUAUUUUAAUGGAGCUUUGGUCCAUAGUGGUGAUAGACUUGAAUUAUUGUGUGUUCCCACCAUAGCUAAGUGGGGUUCUAUAGUUUUGCUUAAUUUAAUUAAAUUAUGUUGCUCUUUCUUUACCUAAUUUAAGGUAAGUAUGCAGAAAUAAAAUAAAAUUUAAGUAUCAAGUAUAGUUUGAUUUGAAAUUUAUUUGCUUAAUUAAAAAUUUUAGAGAAGUUAAAAAAAAACACAUGUAAUUCUAAGAAAAUCAUAUUUGAAGAUUUUCGAUUAUACUAUUAGAUCGUGUUAAGAAAAUAAGAAUAAUAUUAUGUUCAAUUUUAUUUGUUUCUUAUAGUUUCCUUAAUUUCCUCAUGUUCCCCGUCCUCUAUUUUAAAAGCUAGUAAAAACAACUUUUACUUUUCUAUUCCAUUUUAUUUAAAAUAAAAAAUAAAAAUAGAAAAUAACGGCCACUGUUAUAGUUUUUUUAAAAGUAAGUUUUUGUUUUUGAAACAAAAAAAAAAAACUAUUUUUUAAUCUUGCCAAACAUGAUGUGUUUUAAAUCCGUUUAAAAAAAAUCGAAGUAUAUAAAAAAAAAAAUUUACUACUUGAAAGUGAUUUUUAAAGAUUAAGUACAAGAAUUUAAUAUUUUAUAUUUUUAUUUUUACUUUAAAAACAAAAAUAGGAAAUGUAUCUAAAUAUGAAGUAAUUUUUUUUUUACUUUAUUGCAUUUCACAAAUAUUAUUCCCAAAUUAUAAAAAUCUCUUUGAAAAUGUUAAUUUUUUUUAAAAAAAAAUUAAAAAUAGAAAACAAAAUUACACCCAAAUAACACCUUAAAUUUGUAAUCUACUAAAAGGUCAAAAUUCCUAGAACACUAUUAGAUCAUGGUCCAAUCCAAUUUAAGAAAGACCAAAUACAUAUAUUAAAGAUAGUUUCUUGUGUUUGACACUAAUUCUGUAAAGUGCUUCUAGCUAAAAAUAAAUAGAUGUUUAGUAAAAUUUAGGAAACACUUUUAAAAAUUUGAUAAGUUACUUUCAAUGUCAAAAAUCACUUACAGUAUUUUUUAGAAAAACAUUAGAUAGUUGAUUAUUCUAAAAACACUCAUAACGACAAUAUUUUCAAUAAAAAACACUUCGAGUUGAAACAUUACUAAAUACACUUUAAAUCUUGAACUUUAUGCGUGGAGGUAUGAAUUAUAAUUUUUUUUCCUCCACCUUUAAUUAUGGUAUGAUUUUCAUGAAAUUGUAGGUUUUAGACCUAGCUUAUUCACUAAAACCAUUAUAUAACAUAUGGCAUAGUUUUAUUUUCAUUUUGUACAUGGACUAUUAGCCUUUAAUGCUUCAUAUCCUCUAACUUAAAAAUCUUAAUAUAGAUAACAAUCCCAUGUUAGAAAAAUAUAAAUUAGGCCUUACAAGUAAGCUAGAAUCAUAUUGUUGUUUAUUGUAUAUGAGAUACACUUAAUAUCUUAUCUAGAUGUGGCUAAAUCAUAUGCAAAAUAUUUGUCAAUUCAACAAGAAAAAAAAAUAUAACUAAGUUUAAAAUAAGCUCACUAUACUUCAAUGUAGAAAAUUGAUAUUUGCAUUUAUUUAAGCCAAUAUCCAACCUAGGUUGCUUUGAAGUAGAGUUAAAUCCAUACAACGAGUAUGUAAUUCUCCUACAAAAUAGGAAGGAAGAGUAGAAGAGUUUAUGGAUCUUCCAUUUUCUAACUUAGCUAUCUGUAGAGACAUGAUCUUAUAGAGUUAUUUGUUGCAUAUGCUAAGAUGAGAGCAAAUUGAUAGUGGGUUCAUUGCACUUAUGAAAUUUAAAUUCUUGAACACUUGAGAUUAACAAAUUCCUUACAUUAUUAAAAAUAAAUUUUAAACUAGAUUAAUUGUAGAUAAUGAAAAAUUAAGACUUUUGAUACCUUUAGACUACGUUUGACUCGUGUACCAAACACCUUUUAAAAGAAUUUUUAGAAAAAUCAUUUAUCAAUUACUUUUUUAGGAGUCAUUUUUCAAUUUUUUAAAAAAUACUUUCAAAUUUUAUCAAACACGCAAUCUUCAAAAAAAUAUGUUGUUUAAACUAAAAAUAUUUUCUAAAAUUACCAAAAAAGGGGCUUUUAAUAUAUUUACUAGUUCCCACAAAAUAAUGGAGUUCUCUCCCCUUUUUGCCCUAAAAAUGAUAAAGAAUAUAAAGUACGAAAUUUAAAUCGUGGGAGAGAUAAAAAGAUAUCCAUAUAUACCAGACCUACAUUCGCUCACAUGUUUGAAUGGUAAAAUGACAAUUUUAUUCAAUAGGACGAAGGGUUUCGGCCCAGCACAAUAAGCCUUAGGGCCCACUUUGAUGGCGGCACAAUAAACCUUAGGGCCAACUUUGAUGGCGGCUGCCGUGGCGGAGCCAGACUCCUUUGUUAUGGGGGAGGGAUCAAGAGAAUUAUUAAUAUAUUAUAGUUAAGGUAAUUAAUGAUAUUUAUUAUUAUUAUUAUUAAAAUUAAAUAAUUUUAAAUAUUGAUUAUAAAAAUGUAUAAAAUUAAACCACCAUAGUACUAAGAAUAUUUAUAUAUAUAUAUAAAAUUACCAAGAACAUUUAAAGAAAAAUUUCAAAAGAAAUAAAAAUUAGAAAGAAAAAUCAUUAAAUUUUUUUUUAAUAAUUUUAAUUAUUUUGUAGCAAAACCCAUAAAAGUUACUUUAAAGAAUUUAAUAAUUUCUUUAUAAAUUUCACCAUUUUUCAUGAAAAAUGUGUUUUUUAGGUCUGACUAUCUUAUUUACACUUUAAUCUCAUUCUUUAUACUUAUAUCCGAAAACCUAAAUUUUUCUAUAUACUUUUAGAAGUGAGGAUUAAAAUUUUCAUAAAUACCAAAAUUAAUACCUUAAUCUUUACAAGAUAGUUGAAAGUAAAAUCUUUUAAUUAAAAUUUAUGUUUCAUAUAAUAAUAAUAAUUCAUUACGAAAAUGGUAGUAGUUUAAAAGUAUUAUUUUUUAUGAUUUAAUUAAAUCCAAUAAAAAAUAAUUAUAAAAAGAGAAAAAGAUUGAAUAAGCAAGAAGAAAGAAAUGUCAAUAUUAAAUAAGAUUUUUUUUAUUAUUGUUCAAUUUUAAUAUUUUAUUAGUAAUUAAUGGUUAAUAUUGUUUUUUUUGGUAAUAAUAUUUAAUUGUUAUUAUUUUGAAAACUAAAUUUAUAUUCUUUUUAGAGGGGGUAAUUUUCUAUUUUGGUUUUUAUUUUCCUAAAAAAGUUUAUCAUAUAAGGGAAUUUUUUGUUUCUAGAAAAUUGAGGGGGGACACAUGGUCCUCUGAGCCUUACUUGGCUCCGCCAGUGGCAGCAGGACUCAUGUCCUGGACAAAGUUAGGCCCAACGACUCAGGUCUUUCCAUGUUUUGCUUCUUUCCAGUCAAAAAAUGCGUGCCAUUACAGGUCGAUAAGACUCGGAAAUUACGCCCAAAGCACCAAACCCCAUAAGAUGGAGGGGCGUUUUGGUCAUUCACGUUAGAUAUUUUCCCCACUGUGAUGUGUCUUUGAGCGGUGGGCAAAUAUGACUUGGUCUUUGCGCGGUUGGAAGCUUUAUAUGUCUUGGAAUCUGGAAAAGUCUAUUUUAUCGUAUGGAAAAUGAACCAUUCGAUAUACAUAUAUAUAGCCUAGGUUCUUGUGAGCAAAGGCAUAUAUCCUAGGUUUUGUGAGCAAAGGGUGUGCAUUGUAACCAUGGCUAAAGCUCUCCUCGUUUCACCUUCCUACUUCAUCUUCUUCAUCUUCCUCAUUUUCUCUUCUACCACAAUCCCAGUUUUCGGAGAAGAAUACAGCUAUGUUCAAAGUGUCAAUCCUAAGAAAAUGAAAAUGCUGAGGGAAAAGGUAAGUCAUUUUAAACUUUAUUGGCAUGAUCUUGUUAGCGGGUCUAAUGCAACCUCAAUUACAGUGAUUAAAGCAGUGAAUAACACAACACCAUAUUUUGGUAUGAUAAAUAUAAUUGAUAACCCGUUAACCGUUGGGCCUAAUUUGAGCUCAAAAACAGUUGGAAAGGCCCAAGGGCUUUAUGCAUCUACGGGACAAAAAGAUGUUGAAAUAUUGAUGGUUAUGAAUUUUGCAUUCACUGAUGGGAAGUACAAUGGUAGCACAUUCACUGUAUUAGGACGAAACAAUGUUCCUGCUAAGGUAAGGGAGAUGCCAAUAAUCGGUGGCAGUGGGCUUUUCCGAUUUGCUAGAGGUUAUGUUCUAGCAACAACUUAUGAGCUCAGCAACACUGGAGAUGCCAAUAUUGAAUACAAUGCCUAUGUAAUACAUUAUUAAUGUGUGUGUGUGUGUGUUUUUUUUUUUCUAAUUUUUCUAUGGAGCUUUGGUCCACAAUAGUGAUAUACUUGAAUAAUCGUAUGCUCCCAACGUUAACUAAGUGGGAUUCUCUAGUUUUGUUUAGUUUGAAUAAAUUAGGUGGUUUUUACUUCACCUAAUUGAAUGUAAGCAUACAAUAAUAAAAUAAAAUGCUUAUUUACAUGGAUUAAUUAUUUUCUUGAAAUUUGUUAAACUAUACCUUAUUCUAAAAAUCAACAUUCAAAACUGGAUCGGAUAUUGAAUCGAAAAAAUUACCAAUUCACAAUUCACAAAUCGGACCGAUGGUCCAACCAUGAUCAAACCGUCAUAAAUAUAUAUAUUUUAUAUUUUAUUUAAAUUAAAUAAUAUUUAUAAUAUUAUUUAUUUAUUAUUAUAUAAAUGUAUUAAUGGUUUAAAUUUAUUAAACAAAAUAUAUAUAAUAUUUAAAUAUGAAAUAUAUUCAAAAUCGUAAAUACAAAAAAAGUCGUAAUUAAAUAUGAAAACAAAUUGAAAAUGAAAAAAAAACACGUGAUUUAUAUAUAUAUAUAUAUAUAUAUAUAUAUAUAUAUAUAUAUAUAUAUAUAUUAUUUUUUGAAAUAGGCUAUGUACUUAUUUUCUGUUAAAAAUAAAAAGGAUGCAGCAUAGUGGAGUAGUAAUGCUCGUUAUGAUAUUCGUCACCGAUUAUCGGUCGGUAUUUGUCGGUAAAUUUACCGAUUUUUCUGGAAAUUUCCCGAUAUUUCCUACCAGUCCAGCCCGCGCACAGGAUACAAAAUCUGUCCAAUUUUUUUUUUAAAAAAAACAUAAGGCGUUAUUUGGUAAUCUGAUCAUGAUUUGCAGGCAAAGGUUGUGUUUUUCCGCCUGGCUCAAAAAUUGUGGAUUUAGGGUUCGUGAAAUUUAAAUCGAAUGGCACAAAAGCAAAGAGACACCUUAGAACAGAUCCAGAAAACACAGGGAGCAAAAAAAAAUUUUGGUUUUCCUUGGGGGUUUUGCAUGGAUUUUCUCAGAAAUCAAACGAGGAUGAAUUUUCCCGGAAAUCGAAUGAGGGGUGGAUUUUCUUGGGAAUCAAACGGGGGUUGCAAAAAAAAAAAAAUAAUAACAUGAUUAGAUUAGUACCUGCAAGGAUUGAGAGUGGCAGAGGAAAAUAGGGCCUUCUCAGGGAUUCUCUCGUCUGGAGGGCAACUUCAGAAAAGGGCUUCUUGAUGCCCGAGUGAGAAAGAAGCAUAUCAAGUGAGCAAUUUUCCGUGGGUGGCCCUUUUUAUUUUUAGAUUUAGUAGAGAUAAAAUAAAAAAAAAAAAAAAAAAAAAAAGGAAGCAUAUCAAGUGAGCAAUUUUCCUCUCCCUAUAUAAAUAAUUAUUAAUUAUCCAUCUUUAUUUUGAUUAAAUCACUACCAUGGAUUAAAAUUUUGGUUUUUAUCGAUCAUAUUUUAUGAAUUAAAAUUAAUUUGAUAAGAUAAAUUAUUAAUAAUUUUAAUUAUUUAAAUAAAUUAAUAUUAAUAAAAAAAAGUUGUUAUCAUAUUUUUAAUAAAAUUUUAGAAAUUAAAUCUCAAAUAAAAUAUUUUAUAUAAAUUAUUUUAAUUUUUCAUUUAAAAUGUAAUAAAACAUGUUUUAAUAAAAGUAUUUUAAAAUAAAUAUUAUCAUCAACAAAAUGGCUCUCUUCGUCUAAUAAUAUGAUAGAAUUACAUCAAUAUUCAUUUUGAUACUAUGACUAUUGCAAUGUCAUAUGUAUUAUAUUUAUGUAUAAAUUGUUUUUAUUUAAUAAAAUCAAAUAUUUUUUAACUCAAUUCUAAUUUUAUACACUUCCAAAAUUCAUAUUUAUUACUCUUAAAAUUCAAAUAUCAAAUUUAUCGAUAUAUCUCUAUCUACUGAUAUAUAUAUAUUUUUAUCAUAUUUAUGUCAAUUAUACUUACAAAAUGACUUUAAAAUAUGUGUAUUUUCUUUUUCUUUUUUCUUUUUUAUUUAUCAUUUUUUAGAGUUUUUGCAAGCAUUCCCAUAAAUUUUAAAUAAUUUCCACUUCACCGAUAUUUGUGAAAAAAAAUAUUUACCGAUAUUUUUAAUAUAUUCGCAAAAUCGAAGUAUCGAUAUUUUCAUCAUUGACCUAAUCCCACAUCGGAAGUAAGAGGAAAAAUAAAGUGCUUUAUAAACCUCUUCCCAUGUAACACAAGUUGGGUAAUCAAGUCAAGUGGUUGUUGGGCCUUAUGGCACAACCCCUGAUUAGGGGUCCAUUUUGCAAGAUGGGUGUGGGCUGUCAAUGUUGAGUCUGGGAGAGGAUAUAGGCCAUUUUGCCCAAAAAAAAAGGGUAGGCAAACAAUGUUGGCCGAAAAAAAUAAAAGUUGGGGUGUUGAACAUUGAUAACCGACCUAAAAGGAGGAAUCGGACAAGAAAGGUCAUCGAUUGACGGCGAUUUUUAAAAUAUUGCUAAAAAUAAUAAUAAUAAUAAUAAUAAAUUGGAGAGAAGUAGAUUUCAAAGCUCAUAUCAAUAAAGUUGAAGUAUAUCACUUUUCUAUUCAACUUAAGCUAGUUUUUAUGGGUUGAUUUGAUAUGUUUGAAUUAUCAUACAUAUGGCUUUUGAAAAUAAGGCUAACUGGGUGGACCUACCUUGACUUUGUUUACCAAGAAUGACAUAUUUCUUUGAUUUCACGUUACUCAACUUAUCUUGACCAAACUAAAACAUAUUCAACUUUGAAAUUUCACUAGUUUUUAGUCAUAUGUAAUGAUAAUGAAGUUAGAAAAUGCUAAAAAAAUUGAGUAGCAUUCUCAUUUACAAAAAUGCUUUUUAGAAAUGUUUUGAUAAAAAAUUUAUUUAGCUUGACGUGAUACAUAAGUUGACUUUUUCUUUUAUUUCACUUAAUAUAUGGUUUAAUUGAACAUUUUUCAAAAGAAGAUAUGAUUCUUAAACAACAACCUUUUCCCAUUAUUUACAAAUUCUACAAGGUCCAUGUUGGGAAUUGUCCCAAAUUCCUAAUUAGUAAAUAUUCCUUUUUGUAAAGAAUAUUAUAUAGAAUAUUUCUAGGUUGAUAUAUUAUUGUAAUAUUAGACUUCCUUAUAGAAUAAGGAAGGUUGUAGGAAAUAUCUCUAUAAAUAUUCUAGGUCAUGAGGGGAAAAAGUUAUGAGAUGGAGAUGGGCCUAUAGAGACUAUACGAGGUGGAUAGAGAUGUGAGGAAGAACGGGAGGUACCUGGUGGAGCGAGAGGGCUCGUAGUAAGGUAUGGAUACAAGGAGUGGGGAAACAUGGGAUGUUUCGGGAACCCAAUAGUUGUAUCUGGUUCUAUCCUCUGUAAUAUUCUCUAUUGUAUAGUGAAAUUAUUCUCUCUCAUCCGUGGACGUAGGCAUGGUUGGCCGAACCACGUUAAAACCUCGUAUGUGUGAUUGUUUUAUCUUUGUGUUAUUGAACUAACAUUGUUGGCAUCAAAGCUUUCGUUGGCACUACAGUCCAUAGCUAGGGUUUGAAUCAAAAUGGGCUAAAAAUUAAUGUCAUCUCAAUUUUGCUUCAUUUUUGGGACAAGCAAUCAUGACAAUCUUGAAUGGAGUUCAUGUGUCUAACAUAUCAACGUCAGAAGAAAAAUAACUAUAAAAAGAACAAGCUUCUAAUAAUUUUUAUAUCUUAUAUACAAAUUAUUAUUAUUAUUUUAUAAUUUUUAAAAAAUAUAUGAAAUACAUUCAAAUGGACACUUAAUUAUAAAUAAAUGAUAACUAUUCUACCAUUUCUCUAAUACAAAAAAAAAAAAAAAAAGGCGUUUGAAUCUUUUUAAAUGAAUUUAGCAUUCACAAAGCUUUAAAUCAUUAUUUUUUCUACUUGAUUGUGUAAUAGUAGAUGAUGAAAAAUUAACAAUAAAUGAUUAAUUAUCAUCAUAAGUUUAAACUUUAUCAAUUGUCCUUCUAUUAAAGCAAGGUGACAAAUUGAAUGUGAUUGAGGUUGUGAGACCCAUUAAUGUAGAGAGGAAUUCAAAAUCCUAAUAAAAAUGUAUUUCAAUUAAUAAUGAGUUUUUAAUUUAUAUUCUCAUUUUUAAUAAUUAAUUCACAUAAAAUAACAAAUUAAAAGUGAAAUGGGUUUUUCAAUUCAAAUUUUUUUUCAAUGUUUCAAUGACCGAAACAAUUCUAAUUUUUUUUUUUAAAUUUAAAAACAAGGUGUUGAGUAAAUUAACUUAAUUACCUAAUUUAAAUUAUUAAAUAAAUUAAAUAUAUUUAAUAAAAUAAUUUAAUAUUAAAAUUAUUUUUAAUUUUUACCUCUUUUUUCUCUUAAAAUAAUUAACAUAUAUGUCAGACCUACUUUGGCUCACAAGUUUGAAUGGUAAAAUGAUAAUAGGAUGAAGGGUUUUGGCCCACCACAAUAAACCUUAGGGCCCACUUUGAUUGCGGCUUGCCAACGCGGAACCAUAUUGUGGACCCCGCAUUUCGGCUCAUACGUUCCCCACUCGAUGGCGAGCUCGAUUUUUAUUUGAAAAUUUGAUUUUUUAUUUGAUUAAGAAAAUUGACUUGGAGUCGCCACUUAUUUUUGUUUUAUUUUAAAAGGGUAAACAAAAUAAGAAAGAAAAACCCUAAGUGUGACUCCUUAUUUUGGAAAAGGCGGUCUGUGAAAAACCGGAUCGGGUUCGGGGGUCAGGUUACUUAUCGGGAAGGUACGGUAAACACCGUAACACCCCUUUAAGUCCCUAAAGUCGGGUCUCUACUAAUAAAAUGAAGCAAUCAUGACAAUUGAUGAGAUAAUCAAUGAAUACUCAGAGUGAUCAUGCACAUGUGAGAAUCUAAACAUGCGUACAGAAAAUGACCCAAGCGGGUGUGGAUGCGUACCUGGGCAGUGAUCCAUAAAGCGCUAUCAAGAAGUGAGAUUAGUGCACAACUAAAGAAUAGUCACAUGCAUAUCAUAGAGCAGAAUAAAUCAUGUAUGGCAACCGAAUCAACCAAACAAUCCAUCAAUCAUAAAAUCUCAUAUGUUGGGCCCCCACCAAAGCCCAUUUCUAUUUUUGCAUGAAUUCAUCUCAUAAAUUCCAUUGUUUGGAAUUACGAAAAAUUCGUUCAUGCUUAUUAAAAAUAAGAGGAGCAGAAGAUUAUUUGAAAACCAGAAUGAAAUUAAGUUAUUUGAGAGAAAAUUGGAUUUUUGAAAUUCAUUUGAAAAAUUGGAGUCUCGAAAGUUAUUUAAAGAAAAUUGGGACUUUAGAAAUUAAAUUUUGAAAGAAAUUAGAAUUGGAAAUUAUUUAAGAAUUAGAAAUCAUGAAAAUUAAAUUACAUAAAUUGGAAUUUUGGAAAUUAUUUGAAGGUGGAAUUUUUCUAAAGAUAAAUAACUAAAAUGAUGAUGAUAAUAACAUUAAUAACAAUAAAUAAAUAAAUAAAUAAGUGGAAUAAUAAUAAUAAUAAUAAUGAAAACAAUAAUUAAAUAGAUGAACGUAAAUAGUGAAUUUUUUGAAAUUGGAAAUUAAAUUUGGAAAUUGGAAAAUUGGAAUUUCAGAGAUUGGGAAUUUAAUUUGGAAAUCGGAAUUUUUAAAGGAUUAUUUAAAGAUGAAAAUUUGUAAGAUAAAAUUAUUUGGGUGCUAGAUUUCCAUAAAUCAACUUUUAAAAUUUGAGGGCUUUGGAAAUGGGCCAAGGGUGAUAACCAAGCAAAUGGGAGCAUUUAGGAAUGGCCAAGGUGGAGAGAAAAUUUAAAAUGAUGCUCAUGGGCCUGGGCUUCAAAAUGCACUUUGAGAUGACCCUAAAAUGGAGAAAGGCCUUCAAAAUGCACUCACGGGCCUUGGGCUUCUCCAAUCCAUUGUGCAAGAAAAUAAGUUUAGUGGGCUUUGGAAGUGGGCCAAGAAAGGUGGCCAUGCAAAGGUGGGUUGAUGGGUAUUUGGAAAAUGGGUAUGUGGUGUAGAGAGAUAACCGGGUAGGGAGUAGAAAGUGAGUGAGUUAGUGAGAAAAUGAGGGUUGGUAGUGGUGGUGGUGUAGAGAGAGAAAACAGUGCAUGAAGGGUAUGUGGUGUAGAGAGAGAAAGGUGGUAAGAAGAAGAAAAAUGGGUAAGUGGAGGAUAGUUAUGCAUGGGAGGGUGGUGAUAUACAUGAGGGCAUGGAGGAUACGGGUAUGGAGGUUAGCAUGGGUAUGUGUUGAUGAAUGGCAACCAUGGGGGGUGGCCAUGCAUGCACGAUUCCCAUGCAUGUAGGUGGGUGGCUUUGGGAUUCCUAUGGGGAUGAGCAUGGCAUGGGUAUGGUGGGCAGCCGGGUAUGAAAAGGGAUGGUUUGCAUGGGUAUGAGGGGUGAUGGCUAUGGGUAUGGUGGGCAGCCGGGUAUGAAAAGGGAUGGUUUGCAUGGGUAUGAGGGGUGAUGGCUAUGGGUGCAUGCAUGGGAUGAGUGAUAUGGAACGAGCUAGUGAGAGAAAGGGUGAUGGGAAGGAAAAUGGGUAUGAAACAAUGGGUUUGAUGGCUAUGGGUGCAUGCAUGGGAUGAGUGACAUGGAACGAGCUAGUGAGAGAAAGGUGGCGACAUGCAUGGGUAAGGUGGGCAUAGAAGGGUGGUGGCAUGCAUGGUUCCAUGCAUGGCUUCAUGCAUGUGGAUAGGAAGUGGGCAUGAAGAACGUGGUGUAGAGAGAGAAAGGUGGCGACAUGCAUGGGGGGAAUAUGCACCGAAUAGUGAGAGGGAAUGGGUUUGGUGACGUUCAAGAAGAAAUGGAGGUGUGUAUGAGAGCUAUGGAUGGGUAUGAGAGCAAUGGGAAUGCAUGAGGGAUAGGUUGAUGGGCAUGGUGGAUGGCAAUGGGGAAACGGGCAGUGGGUUUCAUGCGCACAAGGAGUGAGAAAAGGUGGUGGCGGGUAGCAAAACAGUUCAAACGAGACAACAACAAUUAACAUCUCCACAUAGAGCAAAAUGAAGCAACAAAACUUCUCCAGGUUAAAACCAAUACUAAGAGGGAUCAUGAAUGAAACGAUCAGCAUGCAUACGAAGAAACCAGAAAUUGAUGUUACUCAUAUAUAAAUCUUGUUAUUCCUAAACAAGCAUAAAAGCGGAACUCGAACAACUCUAGGAGAAAGAGAAAACAGUAGUGGUAAAAAAAUAAAGCAAAGGAUACAUGAUGAGCUUACCUGGAUGCUCCCUCGAGCAAAAAUAUUUGGAUCUCACAAAACCUCCACCUUUGUUUAGCCUCCUCUCCGAGAAAAAGAAACUCCUCUAGCCUGCGUCCCCCUCCCCAGCUCCCAGAACCCCCUUUUCAUUCCUCUGUUGGUGUCUUCUUCAGCAAGCCAACCCUCCAUUUCCAGUUCAUCACGUCAGCAAGCAUGGGCUUGCAACCACUCUCCUCGCUGCCCACGUCUCUUGCCGUGUCUAUGAAGUUGUUCCCUCUUUAGAAAAGGGGUCCCCCCAUCCUACCAAAAAAAAGAAAAACACCCUUCUCUCGGGUGGUGGCAGCCAAAAUAAAAAUAAUCCCCUUGGUCUUGCAAGGAGGGGUCUACACAUAUUUUAAAAUUAAAUAAUUUUAAAUAUUAAUUAUGUAAAUGUAUGAAAUUAAACCAUCAUGGUACUAAGAAUAUUUCUAAAAAGUUUUAGAUGUUAUAUAUAUAUAUAUAUAUAUAUUUUAAAUUAUUAAAAAUAUUUAAAGGAAAUUUUCAAAAGAAAUUGAAAUUAAAAAAAAUUAUUAGAAAUUUUUAAUAAUUUUAAUUAUUUCGUAACAAAAACCUGUAAAAAUUAUUUUAAAGAAUUCAAUCAUUUAUAUUAUAAAUUUUGGUAUUUUUUAUAUGAAAAAGAUGUAUGUCUUUUAAGUCGUUGUUUUAUAACUUGAUUUAAUUUAUUUAUUACCUAAUAUUAUUCUUAGUUCUUAUAUCAAAAAGCUUAAAUUUUUUCAUGUUCUUUUGAAAGUGAUGACUAAAAUUUUCAUAAAUAUCAAAAUUAAUACCGCUUAAUUUUUUCCCUUUUUAAAUAACUAAAUAUAAGAUAAUUUAAAGUAAAGGUUUUUACUUUAUAAAAGCAGUUUAAAAGUAUUAUUUUUAUGAUUUAAUUAAAUCCAAUAAAAAGAAAAAAAAUUGAAUAAACAAGAAAAAAGAAAUACCAAUAUUAAAUGAGAUUUUUUUAUUUUUGGUUAUUUUAUUUCAAUUUUAAUAUUUUAUUAGUAAUUAAUGAUCAAUAUUAUUUUUUUGGUAAUCAUAUUUAGUUUUCAUUAUUUUAAAAAUUAAAUUUAUAUAUUUUUUGGUUUUUAUUUUCCUAAAAAAAUUUAACAUAUAAGGGAAUUUUUUUGUUUCUAGAAAAUCGAGGCUGGGGGGACACAUGGCCCCCUGAACCUUAGUCGGCUCCUCCGGUGACGACACGACUCAUUUUCUAGAAAAAAGUUACGUCCACUCCGUGGCCUGUCCAAGUUUUCCUUUUUUCCAUUAAAAAAUUGUGUGCUAUUAGAAGUCGAUAAGACUUGCAAAUUAACCCAAAACCACCAAGUGUCCAAGACACCAAAAGAUGGAGGGGCAUUUUGGUCAUUCUCCUUAGAAAUUUUCUUGAGCGGUUGGCAACUAUGACUUGGUCUCUGCGUGGUUGCGUGGUUGUAUGGAAAAUGAACCAUUAUAUAUAUAUAUAUAUAUAUAGCCUAGGUUUUGUGAGCAAAGGGUGUGCAUUGUAGCCAUGGCUAAAACUCUCCUCGUUUCACCUUUCUACUUCAUCUUCUUCAUCUUCCUCAUUUUUUCUUCUACCACAACUCCAGCUUUUGGAGAAGAAUACAGCUACGCCAAAAGUGUCAAUCCUAAAAAAAUGAAGAUGUUGAGGGAAAAGGUAAGUCAUUUUAAACUUUAUUGGCAGGAUGUUGUUAGCGGGUCUAAUGCAACCUCAGUCACAGUAAUUGAAGCAGUGAAUAACUCAUCAACAUCUUUUGGUAUGGUAAAUAUAUUUGAUAACUCGUUAACCAUUGGGCCAAAUUUGAGCUCAAAAACGGUUGGAAAGGCUCAAGGGCUUUACGCAUCUACGGGACAAGAAGAUACUUCAUUAUUGAUGAUUAUGAGUUUUGCAUUCACUGAUGGCAAGUACAAUGGUAGCACAUUCAUUGUGCUAGGACGGAACAAUAUAAAUGCUGAGGUAAGGGAGAUGCCAAUAAUCGGUGGCAGUGGACUUUUCCGAUUUGCUAGAGGCUAUGCUCUAGCAUCAACUUACAACGAUGGCGCCACCAUUGAAUACAAUUGUUAUGUCAUACAUUAUUGAUUUUUUUUUUUCUAAUUUUUAGUGGAGCUUUAGUUCACGAUAGUUAUAUACUUGAAUAAUUGUGUGUUCCCACCAUAGCUAAGUGAGAUUCUCUAGUUUUUCUUAAUUUGAAUAAAUUAGGUGGCUCUUACUUCACCUAGAUGAAUGUAAGCAUACUAUAAUAAAAUAAAAUAAAAUGCUUAUUUGUGUGGAUUAAUUACUUUCUUGAAAUUUGUUAAACCGUACAUUAUUCUAAAAAAAAAAAAUUGGAGAGAAGUAGAUUUAAAAGCUUAUAUCAACAAAGUUGAAGCGGUAUCACUUUUCUAUUCAACUUAAGCCCGUCUUUGUGGGUUGAUUUGAUAUGUUUGAUUUAUGACAUAUAUGACUUUUGAAUAUAAGGCUAAUUGGGUGAACUACCUUUGCUUUGUUUAAUAAGAAUGACAUAUUUCUUUGAUUUCACAUGACUUAAAUUAUCUUAACCAAACCAAAAUAUAUUCAACUUUCACUAAUUUUUAGUCAUAUAUUAUGAUAAUGAAGUGUGAACACGCUCAAAAAUUUGAGCAGCAUUCUCAUUUACAAAAAUGUUUUUAAGAAAUGUUUUGAUGAAAGUUAUAAAUUUUAUUUACCUUGACGUGAUACAUAAGUUGACUUUUUCUUUUAUUUCACUUAAGAUAUGAUUUAAUUGAACAUAUUUCAAAAGAAGAUAUGAUUCUUAAACAACAAUCUUUGCCCAUUAUUUACAAAUUCUACAAGGUCCAUAGCUAAGGUUUGAAUCAAAAUGGGCUAAAAAUUAAUGUCAUCUCAAUUUUGCUUCAUUUUUUAGACAAGCAAUCAUGACGGUGUUCAAUAAGUUCAUGUGUCUAUAACAAGCAAGCAACUAUAAUAGAAUAAGACCAUUUUUAUUUUUAUUUUUGCUAUUUGUAUGGUCCAAUAUGUUGCGCUCAUUACAAUUUGAGCCAUAGCCUAAUGGGCUUUUUACCCCAUGAUGUGGUUACCAAUUAAAAAUUGGACCUCAUUAGGGUUCACCAAGUAUAAAGCCCCUUUACCCUUGAAGAUUAAAUGGAGAUUAUUUGUCAUAGGUGAAAAGAGAGAGAGAGACUUAUAUUUAAACUUUUAAAUUGAAAGACCCUUGACCACUAAUUGUUAAUCUAAGUGAAUGAAAGAAAAAUCAAAUAACUCUCAUUUUGAGCAUUCAAGAGUAUCUUUUUUAGAAAAUUGAUAAAAUAAUAUGAUUAGAUAAUUUGGUUAGAAAAAAUAAUAUAUAUAUGAAAGGUUUGGUAUAUUGGUGCCAAACAAUACAUAAGAAAAUACUACAAUUAGAGAAAAAAGUUGGGAACAAUGCAUGUAUGUAUGUCACUAAUUUUUUAGUUAGGAAAACUUGUGUUUUGGGUCGGCCAUUUGCAAAUAAUAUGGUUUCCAAAACCCAAGAAUAGGAAAUCUAGGAAUCAGUUUGUUAAUAUGGAAAAUAAUAUUGUUUUGUGCACUCUAUGCUAACUUUUUUUUUUCUGUGCCCAAAUUGCCCUCACCCACUCUCCAUGUCAAUAGUCACAUUAACAAGUUGUUUCCAAAACAAAAAAAAUAAAAUACAAAAAAUACAAAAACAAAAAAUUAUGUUGUUUAAAAUUUUAGGGAAACUUCAUUUCUCUCAUUCACUUCCUUACCACACCCAAGACCCAUAUUCCCAAAACUUCUUCAUCUCAUUUUGCCCUAACCCCAAAUCUGAAAUAUCCCAACAUUUGAAAUCCGAAAACGAUUGAUUUUACAACAACUGAGGUUUUCCCUUCACCAUGAACCCCAAAUAGAAAACCCUAAUCUUGAAACCCAUAUUUUCUUUUUUCAUUAUCAAAGUUGAAUUUUUUUAAGGUUUCUAGAAACCAAACUGAAGUUUUCCCUUGUUUCAGAUGAAUCGAUCGCAAAUGAGUUUUCUGAGAAAAUAAAGGCUAGUAAGAAAAACACCUAAAAGGGGGGUGAAUUGGGUUUGUCAAAAACUUUUUCAACACAACUAAUUUAAGCACAAUAUAAGCAAAUAUAAAGAGAUAGAGUUAGAGAAUUCAAACUCAGAUUUUAUAGUGGUUCGACACUUUCUUACUUACGUCCACUUUCCUUAAGCUCCUAACCAAGUGAGAGUUCCACUAACUUGAAGCUUCAACCAAGUUUCUAAUCUUCUUUACACUUGGAUUCCGGCUCCAAUGGGUACUUACACAAUCUCUUCAAGAUUCAACACACUUGAAGACUCUAACACUCAAUUUACAAAAAUGAUUUUCUCUCAACCUAGAUCAAUAAUGACUCAAAUACAAAUCAAAGUUAAGAUGGCUCACAAGGGUGCACUAAAAGAUAUGCAAGUGAAGAUUUAAUGUACUAAGAAAUAAAUGAGAGCUUUUAAGGCAAGAACAAGUGGGUAGACAAUUGAAUGCAAGCGUUCUUUUCUACAUAAAUGAAGUGGAACUCUCAAUUUAUAGGUUUUUAAGCUCGGGAGCCAAGAAAAGCAAAAAGCAACCUUAACCGGUCGAGUUGGGGGUCAACCGGUUUACUAGCGAUUGUAACAUUUAAUACUUUGGCAGGUUACCGUUGCCUCGAUUGGACCUCGACUGGAGGUUGACCGGGAAAGAGGGUACCUCAACCGAGAAAGAAAGGCUAUUGGAUGAGAGAUAGUGUUUUUGACACUCCUCGACUGGACCUCAUCUGAUAAGGGCAACCGGUCGACCGAUUCCCUGGCCGAUUGAGUCGGUUGGUUUGUGUCUCGAUCAGUUCAGCCUUUUGGCCCCGAAAACCUAUCUUUUUCAGUUCUUUUCCUUUCUAACACUUAGGCAAGGUCUUUAGGUAAAUUAAUAUGUCAAUUUUGAAAUAUUUUGCCUCAGAUACAUUUGAUAAAACUCGGGUUUUAAUGAAAUUGUAACUUUAAAGAAUAAACUGAGUUUUCCAAAAAUGCAUAAAAAGAUAUGUAAAACCAUAGUGCACCCAUACAUUCAUCUUACAUUUGUUUCCUAUGAUUAAAAGUCUUCCAAAUGUCUCGAUCUUGUAUCCAUUUGGUCGUUUGAUGAAUUUCCAAAUUUAUACCUGAGAUUCUUUACAAUUCAAACCAAUUAGUCACUUAACCAUGGUUUGUUAUCAUCAAAAUUUGAUUAGGAGACCCCUUGGGCUAACAAUCUCCUAUUUUUUUAUGAUGACAAACCUUGGUUAUCUAGGAGAAGAAAAAAAUCUCUCCCUCAAACCAAUCAUGGAUCAAUCAAUCAAAAUUUACGAUGUUAAAACAAAGAUAAUGAAAACAUGCGAAUUUUCAAUAGGAAACGAUGUAAGUCGUGAAACAUAUAACAUAUCAUAUAUAUAGUAAAGUCAAAUGUACACGAAACAUAAACAUAUAAGCUAAUCCAAACAGAUGAUAUGACAAUGAUAUGCAUGAGUCUCCUAGAUACUAAAUAUCUCUCCCCCUUUUGGCAACAUAAAAAAGAAACGAAGGGAGAUCUCUAUGAAAUCAAGGUUGAGGAGGUGGAAGUGGAAACACGGAGUGUAGGUAAACCAUCAUCUACUCAUGUUGACUUUCCUGGUGACUCUCAAUAAGCUUUAUCCUCUGCUGGAGAUGUUUAAACACAGGUUGCUGCUGAUCUAUGCGAUUCUUCAUACGCUCAAAUCUCUGCUACAAAUACUCAAAAUGAAAUGUGAAGUCAGUCUUAUACUUAUCCAUGUGAUCCUCCAUAGAGUAGAAUCGAGUAUCACUAACUACUGCAAACUCCUCCAUGCGAGUGUCGAGAGAGCUAAUCUAAGCAGAUAAAUCCAUCCAAGGUGCAUGAUCAGGGGCGUGAGGUGCCUGAUGAGGUGAUGUCUCUGUGUAAGAAGGCUCAGUGAAAGAUGGCUGAGAAGAUGGUCCCGCUGUGUAAGCCAACUCAGAGAAUGUGGCUUCAAACUAAACACCCUCGGACUAGAGUGGAAGAAUGUCAAGCUCAGGCUCUCUCUACUCAAAGCCUCUCUAAGGGUCUAAUCCACCCUCCAUCUCUCGUAUCUCAGCCUCUUCCUCUACUCCAUGAUGCACAUGUCCCUGUCCCCAAGCCUGUGUUGGUGGUCUCUCUCCUAUCUUGAUCCAGGAACCAUCGGGGGCCUUCUCAAAUUUCAUUUGCCCCAAGGACUGCUCAUCAUAUGUGACGUAAAUGCUGGGAACCUCAAAAUUUGUCUCCCUGCUCAAAUCAACCCCAACAUCCUUGAACACUCUAGUGAGAAAGCGGUUAUAUGGGAGUACGCGGGUCAUGCUCUCACAACAUGAUAUCAUGUGCAUCAUCAUCAAACACCCCACGUGAAUCCAUCUCCCCGUCAAAAUGGAGUCCAUGAGGAAUGUGUCAAGGUAGGAGACCUCAUCUCGGUGUUUGCCUCAUGGCAGUAUGAUGAAGCAGAUCAUGUGGUGAAAUACUCAACUGAUCAUGGUCAGGCUAUGGGUCGAUGGUUUGCCCAUCCCCUGGGCGUCUGCAAGUCUGCAAAUCCUCUAAAUGGCCUUUCUAGGCUCGAAACCUGACACAGUGGGCCAAGCCUUGGACUCAGACACCCUGAGUUCAACUGGAGCAAUAUUGAAAAUGUGGCAGAUGUUCUCUGGGUCCAACUGAAUCUCAACUCCUCUAACGGUGGAAAUAAUCAGGUCACCAAGUCCAUAUGUAGCCCUCAAAUAGAACGCACGCACCAAAGUCGGGAAAAUAGGCUCUAAAAUCGUCACUACUGGCAGCCAACCCAUCCAACUGAAAAAGCUCUCAAACCCGAAAUGCUGUAGUUGGGAGAGAUUGAUGCUUCUCCCUGGAACUACUUUUCUCUUAGCGAACUUUUGCUUGUAACUCUGAUAAUCAUCCAUGGUGCUAAAAAGAGUAGUGUCAAACCUCGCCUUUCGGUAAACCUUCGUCUAAGCAAGCUGAGGCGACUCAAUUGGGUGUUUGCCCUGUGCCCUAAAGGCAGUCAAUUCUCUUUUAGGAGCCAUGAGAAGACGUGAGACACUGAAGAAAGAGCUAGUAAAGAGAGAAAUGAACACAAUCAAAAUCCCUAGGCGCGUGGAAAUGGAAAACAAGUCGAUUGUGACAUGCAGAAGCACUCCAAAGCCGAAACCCUAGCCUCCAAUUGUCCCAAAAAUCCAUUUCAAUGCCUGCAAUUGGUCCAAAAUCUUGCUCAAACUGGUCUCUGGAAGCAGAAAUGUGAAAAACCCUGAAGAAAUGAAGGAGAACAGUGGAGAAAACGAAGCGCGGAGGCUCUUUAAAUUCCCAACCCCGACGAACCGGCUGACCGGUCUUGGUUCAGUCAACCACCUGGUCAAUGGGUUUGACUUUUAACCUUUUGUGCAUUUUCUUGUCUCGUGGUCCUCCUCCUGCUCUUUUCAGUUGAAAUCCCCAAUUUUUUAUGCCCAAUGCCAAGGGAAUUUUGAUUUUUGGUUAAAAUUUUGACCAUUUAUCUAAGUAUAUGUUUAUAUGAUGCAAAUGACAUGAAAUUCAUGCAAUCAUAAGGAAUAUUCAUCAAGAAUUGAUUAAGCAAUCAUUAGAUCAUAAAGAAAUCACCCCUAGUUGUCUUCUAAUAUUAACAAAUUGUUCUUCACUUAGAGGUUUUGUAAAUAUAUCUAAAAGUUGAUAUUUUGUGCUUACAAAUUCAAGUGUUAUGCCAAUAUUUUGUGCAUGGUGUCUAAGAAAAUGAUAUUUAAACUCUAUAUGCUUAGUCUUAGAGUGUUGUACGGGAUUUUUUGAAAUAUUUAUGGCACUAGUGAUAUCACAUUUAAUAGGAACAUGCUCAAAAGAUAAAUCAAAAUCACUAAGUAUUUGAUGAAUUUCCAAAUUUAUACCUGAGAUUCUUUACAAUUCAAACUAAUUAGUCACUUAAUCAUGGUUUAUAUCAUCAAAAUCUGAUUAGGAGAACCCUUGGGCUAACAUUUUCCAUUUAAGGAUUUGUUUGGUUGUUGAUAAAGUCUUGGGGUCGAAGGUCUUUGUUUGAAGAAGACCCAAUUUUAGGGAUUGCAUGAGUUGGAAUUUCUUUUAUUUUGCUUCAUUUUCGCAUGAAUGAAAUAAAGGAUAAAUUUGUUUUGGUUAAAUAUAUGUUUGUAUUUGUAAAUAAAGUAGAAAAUUUUAUUUUCUUUCCAUGAUUUGUGUUAUCAUCAUAUUUGUAGGGAAAUUAGUUGAUCUAUAUUAUUGCUAGUUGAUGGAUUUUUUCUUUUAAUUUUAAUGGGAUAUAUGACAAUUAAUACUAGCAAAUAAAGAUAUGGGAAAGAUUCUAUGCUUGGUUGUUUUUAAUUGUAAUUGAUUUACUAAACUAGUUCAUGUUUGAUUUAAUAACAAAUUAAAUUAGUUCAUACUAUGUGAUGUAUUGUUGAUAACUUGUAUCUGCAUAUUUUGAUUCUUUGAUGGUUCGAUUUAUUGUUUGUAUGAAAUGUUCAAUGUUGCUUUAGUUUGUAGGAGGUGGAAUAAAAAUGUUUGAAAAAACUGACUAUAAGAAAUAGUGUAAAGGAUUUGCAUGAAUUGGUUGAGAGAAUGGAUAUGCAAAUGUGGAUUGCAUAUAUGUAUUAUGUUGGUGUGUAAGAGUCUUUGGUUAUUGUCUUGAACAAAGUAUGUUGUAUAUCACCUUAUUUAGUUACAUUUGCAUUCACUUACUGGUAUUUUAAUACACAUGUGUAAAAGAACAAAUAUAAAUUUAAUUAUGAAUGAACAUAAAUGUUAGCCCAAAGGUUCUCCUAAUCAAGUUUUGAUGAUAACAAAUCAUGAUUAAGUUACUAAUUGGUUUGAAUUAUAAAGAAUUUCAGGUAUUAAUUUGAAAUUUCAUCAAAUAACCUAAUGGAUGCAAGAUCAAGACUUUUGGAAGACCGUUAAUCAUAGGAAACAUAUGUAAGAUGAAUGCAUGGGUGCACUUAAGAUUUACAUAUCAUUUCAUGCAUCUUUGAAAAACUUAGUUUAUUCUUUAAAGUUACAGUUUCAUCAAAACCCUAGUUUUAUCAAAAGAAUCUUAGGCAAAUCACUUCAAAAUUGGAAUAUUAAUUUAUCUAAAGACCUUGCCUAAGUGUUAGAAGAGAAAAUACAAAAAAAAUAUAGGUUUUCGAGUCAAAAAUGGUGAACCGGUCAAGCCUCUGUCCAAACCGGCUCAAUCGGCCACGGUACCGGUCAGCCGGUUUCCUCUUCCUGAUCGAGGUCCGGUCGAGAGGAGCAAAAAACACUCUCUCUCUCUCUUCUAGUAGUCUUUCCUUCCCGGUCGAGGUCUAGUUGAGGGUAAUGGUCACCUGCCAAGUAUUAAAUGAUCCAACAACUAGUGAAUCGGUCGACUCCCAGCUCGACCGGUUGAGGUUGCUUUUUGGUUUUCUUGGUUCCCGAUAUUAGAAACCUAUAAAUAAAGAGCUUCACUUCAUUUAUGAGCAAGAGAACACCUACAUUUAUUUGCCCACCCACUUGUUCUUGCCUUAAAAGUUCUCAUUCUUUUCUUGGUGCAUUAAAUCUCCAUUUGCAUACUCUUUAGUGCACCUUUGUGAUUCAUCCUAACCUUGAGUUGUAUUUGAGCCUUUGUUAAGCUAGGUUGAAAGAUUCAUACUUGUUAAUUAAGUGUUAAAGCCUUCAAGUGAAUUGAAACUUAAAGAGAUUGUGUAAGAGCCUAUUGGAGCCAGAAUUCAAGUGUAAAGGUGAUUAGAAGCUUGGUUGAAGCUUCAAGUUAGUGGAACUCUUACUUGGUUAAGAGCUUGAGGAGAGUGAACGUAGGCAAGGAAGUGUUGAACCACUAUAAAAUCUGAGUUUGAUUUCUCUAACCUUAUCUCUUUAUUUUUGUUUCUCUUGUGCUUAAAUUUGUUGUGUUUAAAAAGAAUUUUUAAAAACUCAAUUCACCCCCUCUCUUGGAUGUUUUUCUCUUUUAAGAUUAGCCUUUAUCUUCUCAAUAAGUUAUAUAGAAAUGGUGACAGAUAUUUCAUAUUUGGAUGUGAUAUCAUAUUGGAAUUUGUUGUUAAGAAAAAUAAGAGCAUGUUUGAAAUGAAUGUGAUUUAGUGCUUUUUUUGUUUUGGGGAAAGUAUGUUUUGGAUUGGAGAUGUGAAUAUGAAUAGGAUUUCUGAAGCUAAGAUGGUCGAAAUUGAAGAAAAAUAUGCUUCGGUCGAAAGUUAUUACAUAUUGGGCAGUUAUUUGUUUUUGUAGGUUAGUCUUUUGUUAAUCUUAGGUUCUACCUUCAUUAAACUUUGGUACUACUUUUAUUAAAUGAUCGCUCAGAUUUUUUGUCGUUUGUUGGAUCAAAACAAAAUUUAUAACCUAAUUCACUCUUCUAUAGCAAUUUGUACCUGAUCAAAAAUUGGCUUUAGUACAAACUACUGUAGCAUAGUGGUUUUUAGGUAUCGUCCACAAGGAUGGAUUAUUCUUGGUGAUUAAGGCUUGAAUGAGAUGAUAAGAAGUGAUUGUGAAAAAGUGAAAUCAACUUGAAAUUGCAUGAUAAAAUUCCAAAUUAACAAUGUAUUCAAAUUGAAUUGAAAAUGAAGUUUAAAAGAGAAGAAAAUUUAUAAGAGGUGAGAUUCUCGGAGUUAGGAUUUUCUAGAGAGCAAUUUCCAUGGUGAAUGGGUGUUAAGAUCUAAUUUUCAUCAAGUUAGAUUGAAAACCUAAAUUUUCAUCUAAACCGAUUUUUGAUUUAACUUUAGAUCUAGAUCUAAUUUCUCUUCAAAUUAGGUAAUCUAAUCUAAGAGAUCAAUUUGAAUCAUAUAUUCAAUUCAUCUUAAAUUAUCUUCCAAUGAUUUCACACNNNNNNNNNNNNNNNNNNNNNNNNNNNNNNNNNNNNNNNNNNNNNNNNNNNNNNNNNNNNNNNNNNNNNNNNNNNNNNNNNNNNNNNNNNNNNNNNNNNNNNNNNNNNNNNNNNNNNNNNNNNNNNNNNNNNNNNNNNNNNNNNNNNNNNNNNNNNNNNNNNNNNNNNNNNNNNNNNNNNNNNNNNNNNNNGUCUUCCGGAUGCUUCUUCAUCAAGGAAUCUGGAGAGAAUGCCCUUUCGCACGAGCCCCAAGUGAUCCCGCAUGAUGGUGCGAAGUGAAGAAUCAAUCAGCUGGAAUUUCGUUCUUCUGGAGCGUUUCGCAUGACUGUGCGAAAAUUUCGCAUGGUCAUGCGAAAUCACUUCUUCACAAUUUCCUCAUAUGCUGCAGCCAUACUCUCUCUGUUUCAUUUCGCAUGAUUGUGCGAAAAUUUCGCAUGGUCAUGCGAAAUCGAAAAUCAUGCUAUUCCGGUUCUUCUUUGCAAAUUCUCUCAUUUGUUCAUGUUUAAUCCAUCUCCACCACCUUCAAUUAAGCUCCAAAGCUUGGUCCAAGUGCAUUUCCUCUUCCUCUUCAUCCACAUUAUGUAUCCUCCUCCGUUCCAUUUUCCAUUUGUCACUCCAUGCUUCAAAAAUCACCUUAAAAUAUCUCCAAAACUCAACAAAGAACCAUUAGAAUCUCUUGCAAGGGUAGCAAUGUAUUACUUGGGCAUAUUAGGCAUAAUUACUACUCAAAAGGUGUGAAACUCAUGAAAGUUAGUAUCUAAAAUAUGUGGUUUUUGAGUAGUAAUCAUUAAACUUAAGGACUACCUUUAUUUAACUUAGGUACUACCUUUAUUAAACUUAGGUACUAUCUUAAUGCACCUUAGAUACUACCUUAAUCUACUUUAGGUACUAUCUUAAUGCAACUUAGGUACUAUUUAAAUGCAAACCUUAGGUACCACUUGGAUGUACACCUUAGAUACUUCUUGGAUGUACACCUUAGGUACUCCCUUAAUGCAAACCUAAGCUAAUCUUAUCUACUAUCUUAAUUGAGCUUAGGUACUUCAUUCGUGGAGUAUAGGUACUUGAUUUGUGGAUCAUAUGUGCUUAAUUUGUUAACCUCGUGUAGUUCAUUUGUCAAUCUUAGGUACUACCCUUCUCAAUCAUAGGACCUAGUUUUGGCAUUGGUACUAGCUUGGAAUCCAUAGUUUGAAGACAAAUUGAGAAAUAUGGAACUUUCAAACUCAAUACACAAAUUGUUUAAUUGCAUUUUAUAUAUGAGCAUAACAUUAUUAUGUUGUACUAGGUUAGUGAGUUGGUUGGCCUUAAACGUGACAUUACUAUGAUGAAAUCUAUAGUUUAUAGGGUUGAUUUUCUUUUAAGGAUGAAUCAUGUAAAGGUGUGGUAUUAAAAAAAAUAUAGAUUUUUUAAAGAAUUUUCACAAAAUAAAUCAAGAAAUAUGCACUCAAAUAGUAAUGUUGUUAAAAUUCUAAAAGUGUCCCCUCAAGUAUUUUCUCUUCGACCAGCUAAUCCAUUUGUUUUGUUUUGCUUUGUUUUUCCUUUUUUAUUUUUAAACCUUCAUAUGAUAAGUGAAGAUAACUUCAUGAUGUUUAUCAAAUUGACACAUGGCUAAUUAAUAUGGCAUAUUAUUUUCCUUUUUUUUCUUCUUCUUCAUUUUACCUAUAAAAUAAUGCACAUUUUUUUAAUAUGUUAGUUACACAUUGUUAUAAAAUCUUUUUAAUUUCAUUUUUUUUUUCACUUUUUCAUCUUUUCAUAUUUAUUAAUUAUAAUUAUUUAUAAACACUUUAAAUAUAAAAUAAUAAUAAUAUAUGAUAAAUAAUUAAUGAAGAAAUUAAUAUAAAAAUAAAUACAAAAUGAACAAAUUUAGAGGUUUAGAAUAUAAGAUUUUAUAUAUUCAUGUUAAAUAAAAUACUUAUUUUUUUGAUAAAUCUUAUCAUAUAUAGAUUAAAAAAUAUCUUUGUCGUUUUAUUUUAUUGUUUAUCUUUUUUAAUUUUUAAAUUUUCAUGUGAAAAUAAAAAUCAAUUGUCAUGAUUUUUAACUUUUUGCUUAUGAUUCUUACUUAAUUGUAAUUUUAACUUUUUUUUUUCUUAGUUAAAAUGUUUAAUAUUUUUCAUUAAAGAAGAUAAACUUGAUUGUGAUUUUAACAUUUUGUUUUGUUAAAAUUUUUAAUUUUUAAUUUAUAAAAAAUAAAAAAAUUUAAAAGCUGUAUUUAAUCAUUUAUAUUAAUUUCUAUCAAUUCUAUAUAAAAUAAAAAUAUUUUUUUUAUAAAAAAUUAUAUUUAGUUAUUUAUAUUAAUUUUCUCUUAAUUUUAUUAAAAAUUAAAAUUUUUGCAUACUAAAAUUAUGUAUUAAUAAACACAACUUUUGAAAAAUAGAGUAUCAUUCUUUUAUAUACUUAUUUCAUACGGAGUGGUACUCUUUUUGUACCAUUUUUCUAAUAGUUGUGUUGACCAAUACAUAAUUUCAGUAAAAUAAAAUUAAUAUAAAUUAUUAUAUACAAUUUUUUAUAAAAAAAAAUAUUUUUUAUUUUUAAAUUUAUAUAAAUUAAAAAUUAAAAAUUUUAAUAAAACAAAAUGUUAUAACUACACCAAAUUUUUGUCUUUUUUAAUUAAAAGACAUUAAGCAUUUUAGUAAAGAAAAAAAAAUUAAAACCUAGAUGCUAAAUCUCUAUAUUUGUUCAUCAUAUAUUUAUUUUUAUAUUAAAUUUGUUCUCACUAAAUAUUUAUUACAUGUUAUUAUUUUAUUUUUAAAAUAUCAAUAAAUAAUUAAAAUCCUAAAUAUGAAAAAUGAGAUAAAAAUAAAAUAAAAUUGAAAUGACAUCCUAAUGCCAACACAUUUAAAAAACAAUCAAAUAAAAUGGAAGAUACAGAUAUUACAGAGGUAGGGAAAAAGAAAAAAAAAUGAUGUGGUAUGGCUGAUUCCCAAGCGUCAAAUUUUUUGUUUAAAACAAAACAAUAAUAAUGACAAGCUCUUUGAAUUGUUGCGUGUCAAACUAAAACUAAAAAAAUAAAAAAUAAAAAAACUUUCAUAAUUGGCGGCUCAUGAGGAUUUUCUGAAACUGAUAUUUUUUUUUUAAAUGGCACACGUGUAACAUGACUCUCCCUUUUAUAAUGCUUCUGUCUCUCUCUCUCUCUCUCUCUCUCUCUCUCUCUCUCUCAUUCUAUGAUGGAAUUUAUAGUCGGUUGAUUUUUUUAAUGCCCAUGAGCAGCUGAUUUUUGAGGUAAUUGAAUAUUAAUGGCUGUGAGACCCAUUCUCAUAUGGUCUCUCUCUCUCUCUCAUAUUCUAGAUAGAAUCUAUAGUCUAUAGGGUUGAUUUUUUUUAAUGGUUGUGGGUUGCUGAUUUUUGAAGGAAAGUGAUUAAAUAUUAAUGGUCGUGAGACAGUCCCAUUUGGUCUCUCUCUCCCGCUCUCUCUCUCACAUUCUAUGAUAGGAUCUAUAGUCUAUGGGGUUGAUUUUUUUAAUGCCCAUGAGGAGAUGAUUUUUUAUGGAAAGUAAUUGAAUAUUAACGAUUGUGAGACCAAUUCUCAUAUGGUCUGCCUCUCCCUCUCUCUCUCUCUCUCUCUCUCUCUCUCUCUCUCUCUCUCUCUCUCUCUCUCUCUCUCUCUCUCUCCCCCUAUGAUAGACUUUAUAGUCAGUAGGGUCGAUUUUUUUUUAAUUGCCCUGAGCAGCUGAUUUUUCUAGGAAAGUGACAGAAUAUUAAUGGUUGUGAGACCAUUCUCAUAUGUUCUCUCUCUAUUUCACCCCCUCUCUAUAGUCUAUAGGGUUGAUUAUUUAUUUAUUUUUUAUGCCCAUGAGCCAUCGGCAGCUGAUUUUUGAAGGAAAGUAGUUGAGUAGUAAUGGGUUGGGACUUGUGAGACCCAUAAAUGUAGAAAGGAAUUCAAAAUCCUAAUAAAAAUGUAUUUCAAUGAAUAAUGAGUUUUUAAUUCAUAUUCUCAUGUUUAAUAAUUAAUUCACAUAAAAAAAACAAAUUAAAAGUGAAAUAGAUUUUUUAAUUUCAUUUUUUUGCUUCAAUGUCUCAAAGAUAUAUAAAAUAUGAGGAUUAUUCUCAUAUAUUUGAAAGGUUUACAAAAUGAUUCUAAAAAAAUAAUUUUUUUAAAAAUAUUCAAAAACAAGAAACUUGAUAAUUCAAUUUAAUUGCUUAAUUUAAAUUAUUAAAUAUAUUUAAUAAAAUAAUUUAAUGUUAAAAUUAUUUUUAUUUUUUAAUAUUAAAUUAAAAUAAUUAACUAAUACAAUUUCAAAGCCUUUUUACCUCAUUUUCCUCUACCAAUGUAAAAUAAUUAACAUAUACAUCAGACCUACCUUGACUCACAAGUUUGCCUUUUAAGUCUCCUUAUUUCCUGAUUUUAUUUAUUUAUACUUUAAUCUCAUUCUUUCUACUUAUAUCUAAAAGGUCUAAAUUUUUCUUUAUACUUUUAAAAAUGAGGAUUAAAAUUUCCAUAAAUACUAAAAUUCAUACUUUUUUUUUCUUUUUUCAAAUAACUAAAUAUUAGAUAAUUGAAAGUAAAUUCUUUUGGUCAAAACUUAUGUCUCAUAUAAUAAGUCAUUACAACAACAAUUUAAAAGUAUUAUUUUUUAUGAUUUAAUCAAGUAGAAUAAAAAAUUAAGUAUAAAAAAGGGAAAAUGUUGAAUAAACAAGAAGAAAGAAAUACCAAUAUUAAAUGAGAUUUUUUUUAUUUUAGUUUAAUUUUAAUAUUUUAUUAGUAAUUAAUGGUCAAUUUUUUUAUUUUUUUUUUGUAAUAAUAUUUAGUUGUCAUUAUUUUGAAAAUUAAAUUUACAUUUUUUUAGAGGGGGCAAAUUUUCUAUUUUGGUUUCUACUUUCCUAAAAAAGGUUUCACAUAUAAGGGAACUUUUUUGUUUCUAGAAUAUUGAAGGGGGGGGGACACGUGACCCCCUGAGUUGGGACAGAACUCGUUUUCUAGAAAAAGUUGGGCCCAACUAUGCCGUCGUCUUUCAAUGUUUUUUCCUUCUUUCCAUUUAAAAAACAAUGCGUGCUAUUACAAGUCGAUAAGACUUGCAUUUUGGUCAUUCUCGUUAGAAAAUCCCCCCUUUGUGUUUUGUCUUUGAGUGGUUGGCAACUACGACUUGGUCUUUGCGCAGUUGGUAAGUAUGACGCCUUGGAAAUUAGAAAAAUAUUAUUGUACGGAAAAUGAAACAUUCAAUAUAUGUAUAUAUAGCCUAGGUGUUCUGAGCAAAUGUAGAUAACUCAGGUUUUGUGAGCAAAGGCAUAUCAUAACUCAAGUUUUGUGAGCAAAGGGUGUGCACUGUAGCCAUGGCUAAAGCUCUCCUCGUUUCACCUUCCUACUUCAUCUUCUUCAUCUUCCUCAUUUUCUCUUCUGCCACAGUUUCAAUUUUCGGAGAAGAAUACAGCUAUGUCAAAAGUAUCAAUCCUAAGAAAAUGAAUAUGUUGAAGGAAAAGGUAACACACUUUCAACUUUAUUGGCAAGAUGUUGUUAGUGGGUCUAAUGCAACAUCGGUUACAGUGCUUGAAGAAGUGAAUAACUCGUCAACAUUGUUUGGUUCGGUUAGUAUAAUUGAUAACUCGUUAACCGUUGGGCCAAAUUUGAGCUCAAAAACGGUUGGAAAGUCCCAAGGGUUAUACGCAUCUACGGGACUAGAAGAAACUUCAUUAUUGAUGGUUAUGAAUUUUGCAUUCACUGAUGGCAAGUACAACGGUAGCACAUUCACCGUGGUAGGACGGAACAAUGUAAAUGCUAAGGUGAGGGAGAUGCCAAUAAUCGGUGGUAGUGGGCUUUUCCGAUUUGCUAGAGGCUAUGUUCUAGCAUCAACUUACUCAUUCAGCGACAACGGAGAUGGCACUAUUGAAUACAAUUGUUAUGUUAUACAUUAUUGAUAUUUUUUAUCUUUUUCUAGUUUUUUCAUGGAGCUUUGGUCCACAAUAGUGAUAUACUUAAAUAAUUGUGUGUUCCCACUAUAACUAAGUGAGAUUAUCUAGUUUUGUUUAAUUUGAAUAAAGGUGACUCUUCACCUAAUUUAAUGUAAGCAUAUUAUAAUAAAAUAAAAUGCUUAUUUGCGUGCUUAAUUACUUUCUUGAAAUUUGUUAAACUAUACUUUAUUCUUAAAAAAUAAAAAAAAUAUUGGAGAGAAGUAGAUUUCAAAGCUCAUAUCAACAAAGUUGAAAUGGUAUCACUUUUCUAUUCAACUUAGCCACUUUUUGUGAGUUGAUUUGAUAUGUUUAAAUUUUCACACAUAUAGCUUUUGAAUAUAAGGCUAAUUGGGUGGACUACCUUUACUUUGUUUAAUAAGAAUGACAUAUGUCUUUGAUUUCACAUGACUCAAAUUGUUUUAACCAAACUAAAAUAUAUUCAACAUCCACUAAUUUUUAGUCAUAUAUAAUGAUAAUGAAGUUAGGAAAAAAAAAACUAAAAAAUUUGAGCAACAUUCCCAUUUAUAAAAAUGUUUUGAUGAAAAUUAUAAAUUUUAUUACUUUGACAUGAUACAUAAGUUUAACUUUUUCUUUUGUUUCAUCUAAGAUAUGAUUUAAUUGAAAAUAUUUGAAAAGAAGAUAGGAUUCUUAAACAACAACCUUUUCCCAUUAUUUACAAAUUCUACAAGGUCCAUAGCUAGGGUUUGGAUCAAAAUGGCUAAAAAUUAAUGUCAUCUCAAUUUGGUUCAUUUUUUAGAUAAGCAAUCAUGAUGAUGUUGAAUAAGUUCUUGUGUCCAUAACAAGCAAGCAACUAUAAUGGAACAAGACCAUUUGUAUUUUUUGUUGCCAUUUGUAUGGUCCAAUAUCUUGGGCCCAUCACAUUUUGAGCCAUAGCCUAAUGGGCUUUUCACCCCAUGAUGUGGUUACCAAUUAAAAAUUGGACCUCAUUAGGGUUCACCAAAUUUAAAGCCCCUUAAGACCCUUGAAGAUUAAGUGGAAAUAACCAUUUGUCACAAAUGAAAAGUGAGAUAGAAACUUAUAUUUAAAAUUUUAAAUGGAAAGACCCUUGAACACUGAUUUUUAAUGUUAGUGAAUGAAAGAAAAAUCAAAUAACUCUCAUUUCAAGCAUUUAAGAGUACCAUCUCCUAGAAAACUGAUAAAAUAACCCUAUUAGAUAAUUUGGUUAGAAAAAAGAAAAUAUGAAGGGUCUGAUAUAUCAUUGUCAAACAACGCAUAAAAAAAAAACUAUAAAAGGACGAAUUUUCAUUGUAGGAUAAAGGAGAAUUUCUUAUUUUCAAUAAAUAAAAAAAUUUAAAAGUUUUGCAGCUUCAAUAAGUUCUAAUAAAUUUUAUCUUUUAUAUAUAAAUUAUUAUUAUUAUUAUUUUAUGAUUUUAAAAAAAUAUAUGAAAUAUGUUCAAAUGGGUAUUUAAUUAUAAAUAAAUGAUAACUAUUCUACUAUUUCUCUAAUACAAAAAUUAAAAAAAAACUAUUUGAAUAUUUUUAAAUGAAUUUCACAUUCAAAAAACUUUAAAUCAUUUUUUUUUUCUCUUCUUGGUUGUGAAAUAGUAGAUGAUGAAAAAUUAACCAUAAAUGAUUAAUUAUCAUCAUAAGUUUAAUCUUUAUCAAUUAUCCUUGUCCUAUUAAAGCAAGGUGACAAGUUGAAUUAAUGUGAUUAGGUUUAUGUAAGUUCAAAUCAAUUGUCCUCAUCCUUGUAUGAAAGUCAUGGACUCAUGGCAUGCGGCUAUAGCCCAUUGAAGGUAUAGAAGUAGUGUUAUUAAAGAUCAAACUUUAAGUAAAAAAAUUUUAAAGUAUUUUUUAAUAUUUUAUGGGAUACUAUUUUUAAAAAAUAAUAUUAAUUAAAUAAAAAAUCCUAACACUAAAACCCUGUAGAAAGAAGUUGGGAACAAUGCAUGCAUGUGCAUGUAUUUCAUGAGUUAUCUCUGAGUAUUGCCAUCCGUUGCCACUAAUUUUUUAGUCACCCUUUUUUCCCCUGAGAGAAUGGAGUGGAUGCCUUGGUGGAGCCUGUUUGCCAUCCAAAUGGGAGAUUGAAAUGCCUCUCUAUCCCCACCUGCUGCAGCAUCUCUCUCUCUCUCUCAUAUUCUAUGAUGGAAUCUUUAGUCUAUAAGGUUGAUUUUUUGAAUGCCCAUUACCAGCUGAUUUUUGAAGGAAAGGAAUUGAAUAUUAAUUCUCAUAUGGUCUCUCUCUCUUUCAUAUUCUUUGAAGAAUCUAUAAUCUAUAGAGUUGAUCACUUUUAAAUGCCCAUGAGCAGCUGAUUUUUGAAGGAAAGUGAUUGAAUAUUAAUGGCUGUGAGACCCAUUCUCAUAUCUUCUCUCUCCCUCUCCCCCUUUCUCUCUCAUAUUCUAUGAUAGAAUCCACAGUCAAUAGGAUUGAUUUUUUUUUUUUUUAAUGCCCAUGAGCAGCUGAUUUUUGAAGGAAAGUGAUUGAAUAUUAAUGGUUGUGAGACCCAUGCACUCUCAUAUGUUCUCUUUAUCUCCCCCUCUCUCUCAUAUUAUAUUAUAGAAUCUAUAAUCUAUAGGGUUGAUUUUUUUUAAUGCCCAUGAGCAGCUGAUUUUUGAAGGAAGGUGGUUGAAUCUUAAUGGGUUGUGAGACCCAUUAAUGUAGAGAGGAACUCAAAAUCCUAAUAAAAAUGUAAUUCAAUUAAUGAUGGGUUUUUAAUUCAUAUUCUCAUUUUUAAUAAUUAAUUCAAAUAAAAUAACAAAUUAAAAGUAAAAUAGAUUUUUUAAUUUCAUUUUUUGUUUCAAUGUCUCAAACAUAUGUAAAAGAUAUGAUGAUUAUUUUUAAGGUUUAUAAAACAAUUCUAAAAAAAGUAGAUUUUUAAAAAAUAUUUAAAAGUAAGGUGUUUGAUAAAUCAACUUAAUUACUUAAUUUUAAUUAUUAAAUAAAUAAAAUAUAUUUUAUAAAAUAAUUUAAUAUUAAAAUUAUUUUUUAUUUUUAAUAUUAAAUUAAAUAAUUAAUUUAUAUUUAAUUUCAAAACCUUUUCACCUCAUUUUUCCGUACCCAUGUAAACUAAUUAACAUAAAUACCGGACCUACUUGGGUCACAAGUUUGAAUGGUAAAAUGACAAUUUUAUCCAAUAGGAUGAAGGGUUUUGGCCCCCACAAUAAACCCUAGGGCCUACUUUGAUGGCGGCUGCCACCGUGGAGCCAGACACUUUUGUUAGGUGGGGCAUCAAGAGAAUUAUUAAUAUAUUAUAGUUAAGGUAAUUAAUAAUAUUUAUUAUUAUUAUUAAAAUUAAAUAAUUUUAAAUAUUAAUUAUUAAAAUGUAUGAAAUUAAACCAUCAUAAUACUAAAAAUAUUUUUUAAAAAAAGUUAGAUUAUAUAUAUAUAUAUAUAUAUAUAUAUAUAUAUCAAGAACAUUUAAAAGGAAAUUUCAAAAGAAACAAAAACUAGAAAAAAAAUCAUUAGAAAUUCUGAAUAAUUUUAAUUAUUUUGUAGCAAAAACCCUUAAAAGUUAUUUUUUAAAAAUUUAAGUACUUAUAUUAUAAAUUUUGAUAUCUUCGUGGAAAAUAUGUGCGUCUUUAAAUAUGAUAAUAGGACAAGGACAAUUGACAAAGAUUAAACUUAUGAUGAUAAUUAAUCAUUUAUGUCCAACUAGUCCAUGGUCUUUCCAAGUUUUCCUUCUUUCCAUUCAAAAACGGCAUGCUAUUACUAGUCGAUAGGACAUACAAAUUACCCAAAACCACCAAGUGCUCAAGGCAACUGGAGGGGCAUUUUGGUCAUUCUCGUUAGAAAUUUUCCCCAUUGUGAUGUGUCUUUGACUGGUUGGCAUCUAGGACUUGGUCUUUGCGCAGUUGGUAACUAUGACGGCUUGGAAAUUGGAAAAUAUUAUUGUACCGAAAAUGAAACAUUCAAUGUGUAUAUAUAGCCUAGGUUUUGUGAGCAAAUGUAUAUGACUCAAGUUUUGUGAGCAAAGGUAUAUCAUAACUCAGGUUUUGUGAGCAAAGGGUGUGCACUGUAGCCAUGGCUAAAGCUCUCCUCAUUUCACCUUCCUACUUCAUCUUCUUCAUCUUCUUCGUUUUCUCUUAUGCCACAAUCCCAGUUUUCGGAGAAGAAUAUAGCUAUGUCAAAACUGUUGAUUUUGAGAAAAUGAAUCUACCGAAGGAAAAGGUAACACACUUUCAACUUUAUUGGCAAGAUGUUGUUAGUGGGUCCAAUGCAACCUCUGUCACAGUGAUUCAACCAGUGAAUAACUCGUUACCAUUUUUUGGUAUGGUAAAUAUAAUUGAUAACUCAUUAACCGUUGGGCCAAAUUUGAGCUCAAAAACAGUUGGAAAGGCCCAAGGGCUUUAUGCAUCUACGGGACAAAAAGAAUCUUCAUUAUUGAUGGUUAUGAAUUUUGCAUUUACUGAUGGCAAAUACAAUGGUAGCACAUUCACCGUGGUAGGACGAAA